AAGCGACCGUUUUCGCUACCUAGGAUAUAUCGUGCAAGAGAACGGAGAAUUAGAGAGAUCUCAACCAUAGAAUAGAAGUUGGAUAGAUGAAGUGUAAGAGUGCAUCCGGCGGGUUUGUGUAACCGUCGUAGGCCACUGAAGCUCAAGGGAAAAUUUUAUAGGACGGCAAUAAGGCCAGCGAUGGUGUAUGGCACAGAAUGUUGGGCGGUGAAGCAUCAACACGUACACAAAAUGGGUGUGGCGGAGACGAGGAUGCUUCGUGGGAUGUGUGGGCACACAAGAAAUGAUAAGAUUGGAAAUGAGGAUAUUCGAGGUAAAGUAGGAGUGGCCGAAAUUGAAGGAAAGAUGAGAGAAAAUCGAUUCCGGUGAUUUGGACAUGUGCAAAGAAGGCCUACUGACGCUCCGGUUCGAAGAUGUGACUACGGGACAGAGGUUCAGGGCCAAAGGGGUAGAGGAAGACCUAGGAAAACUUUGGAAGAGACUCUAAGAAAAGACUUAGAGUACUUGGUUCUAACGGAGGACAUGACACAAAACCGAGCGCAAUGGUGUUCUAGGAUUCAUAUAGCCGACCCCACUUAGUGGGAAAAGGCUUUGUUGUUGUUGUUGUUGUUGCUUGCAAUUGAUAAUGUAUUGCCGAACAAAUAUGUAAAAAAAUUGUGAAAGCUAUGUAAAAACUGAAAUUGUCAUGAAGGAUUUUGGAGGGAGGAACACAAAAUAUCACCCAUGAAAGAUGAGAGAAGAAAGAGGAGAAUUGAUUCCAUGAUCUAACAAAAGGAAUUGUUUAGAAGAACGAAAAAACAAAAGGAGGGAUGAAACGGGCUGGGGGUUGAGAUUUUAUUGCUAUAACUAAUCCUAUAAUUAAGGGAUUAGUUAAACCACAAAUAAUCAUAUAAUUAAGAAAUUUUGAAUAUUUACUAUAAUUUAUAAGUCUAAGGGAUAAUAUGGUACAAAUUAUAAAUAAGCUUACGGGGAAUAUCAAUUAUUGGACCUAUUUCAAUGCAGUGGACUAAUUCUAGUAAUGGCUCACAAAAUUGGAUCUAUAUCAAAUUAUCCCAUUUUUUUAUCUGUUUAAUGCAUUGCUGCGAGUGUUUAUAAUAUGCAGCCGCUUUUAAAGGGCUAAAUCUAAUCCUAUAUAUAAUAUCCAAUCAAUGCAAUUAAACCAAACGUGAAUAAGAUAAUGCAUUCAAAAUAGAUAUGCAUGUGAUAGUAUUAAAACAAAACAAAAACUCUUGUAAUUAUCAACUUGAUAAACAUGCAAAAUAGAUAUGCAUGUGAUAGGAUUAAAACAAAACAAAAAAAAAAAAAAAAACUCUUGUAAUUAUCAACUUGAUAAACAUGCAAAAUUAUCAAGUUAAUUAGAUGUUAACUAACAUCCUAUACAAACACGGCAACAAAAGUGAACUGAUUCGUUAAGUACAAACCUAUAGUUUAGUCCAUAACAUAUAACCAAAAUCAGUCGAUUCGUAAGUUCAAGAACAUGCAGCCAAAACUAAAUUUAUUUGUAUUUGAACCAAGAUAAACCUAACUGCAUGAAAUCCUUAUGCAUGACAAACUUACAGGAGUGGAUGUCUCUGAAACGUUGACUAUUCUUGUGAUCGAGAGCAUGAGAGACAAACUUAGACUAUAAUAAAUAAAAUCGAAAACAUGUACUAGUCUAAGACAUUACAGACACAGACGUUUUGUUUAGGAAUAGUCAAUUUUACCCUAACACCGAUCGACUCUUAAACCAGGUAACAUUAUGAAGUUAUCUAAACAUCAACUAUAACUAUCAUGGGAUAUGCAGCACGGAAAGAUUCUGAUAUUUUCAAAGUAAAUUGUAAAUUCCAUGAGGGAACGAAGAAAAACUUUGGCAAGGAAGAGCCACUAUGGCAAGGAAAACCUGAAACCUUUAUUAAAAGAGCUAGCUAGCAUCUCCAAUUAUAAAUAAAAAAAUUACAAAACUGUACCUGGUAUUGCAAGUUAAUCCCACUUUUCUUAUAUUCCACAUAGAGGCACUUAGAAAACUGAUCAAUAUAGCCGAAAACAAUCACCUGAACAAUAAGCACAGAUGGAUCCAAAACAAAAGAAACAACAAUCCACGAAAUACCGUGAAAGGGCUUGUAUCUCAGUUAGUCGAGAGAAAAAAAAAAGGAAAAAACAAAAGAAACCAAUUUAUCAUUGCUCUAAAUAUAAAAUCAAAAUUCAAGAGAAACCCACAAUUCAAGAAAUAAUGACUUGCCUGAUGUCAUUUACAUGCCCGAAAUAUAAUUAAGAAACAUAGGGUGUCAAAAAAGACUUCCCUUUCAUGUUCUCAUAUUUUCCCUCUCAUUUCAAUCAAUUCGGACGUACUCAUCACUUGAUAUACUUGUUAUAUAACAAAAUUUUCAGUAUCAUAUGAUUUUCUUCGUGUUCAUGAGUUGAUAUUACAUUUCAUCACACAGUAGUGCAGAAAGUGCUAACAGUUGGCCGUGCUUACGAAUAGUAACAAUUGCAUGGCUACCCAAUACUUAACCAUUAUCUUAUGACAUCAUAGCUACACUCAUUGCUCUUAAUUACUUAAAUCGAGUGGUGCAUGAGUAUUACAAAAACAUGUAUGAGGGAUUUACAAAUGACUACUUGGAAGUAGUCAUUUACAAAUCCAAGUAGUCAUUUGUAGUUAAUGCUCAUAUUGUGCAUUUUUAAUCCUUCCUAUCUAACUUCUUGUGAUCCUUGUCUUCAUUUGUCUAAAUUUCUUGAAAUUUAAAAGUCUCUCACCCAAACGUACUCUUAGUGAAAGUGACAAAGUGCAUGGUUUUUUUUUUUUUUUGGUCAUAAGGUAGAGAAAUUUCAUAAAAUAAAGUCCAAAUGGACAAAUUACAUAAGGAUUGACAUACAGAAAGAAGACGCCACUUAUGCAAGCAAAGCAUGAGUAAAUGUUCUUCCCUGUAGCAAAUUACAAAUAGUACAUAAAGAAAAUAAACAUGAAACGGUCUCAACCUAAAACAGAUCCUCCAUGAGGGCUUAAAUAGUAGAGUCCCAAAGGUGGCAAAUAGAGAAAACCCUAAGGGUGCGUUUGUUGCAUCAGACUGUCUCGGAUUGAACUAGCUUCAAGGACUAAGCUAGACUGGCUUAGACUAGACUAAGCUGGACUAACUUAGUGAAGCGUUUAGUGCAGUGUCAGACUAAGAAGCAGGAUAAUGAAAAUCAAUGAAAAAUAAACCUAUUUGAACGAUCACAACAAAAGAAUUUGUUAAUACGAAAUCAUAAACUAACCAACCUAGAUUCAUUAUAGAAGGAAAAUUGAAAUUAACUAAAUCCACUUUUCUCUACUUGCCCAAUUCAAAUCAAAACCAAACAAUUUCUCAGAAUUAAAACAUAAUAAUAAAUUUCUCACAAAGCCACCCAAUAAAAAAAAAAGUGGGUAAAAAAUUGUAUUAUGAUCUUUUUGUCCAUCGUGUCUGAGGUUUUGAAAUGUGAGCCCAGAAAUUGUAUUGCUCCCCAAAUUGAAAGAUGUUGUCGCCACAACCACAAAUCAACAAAUCCAAUUGAUGGUGCUACAGAUCCAUCUUCGUCACCUUCGUGCAGCCGUGGUCAACCCCAGCCUUUGGGCCACCGGUAUUCGAACUCAGUGUUCAAACCUAGCCUUCAAAGGUCCCAUCGUUCGGGCCGCCGUCAUCAACCCCAGCCCUCAAUCAAUCGCGAUAAUCAAAUAAACUUUCCAUUUUCUAAUUGAUCCACCACCCAAAGAGUGUUCUGUCACCUCGGCGAAGAGGAGUGGGUGGUGCCGACAUCGAUCUGAGUCGGGUUGUCGAUGCAAAGAGAUAGAGGAAGGGAGAGAGAGGAUGCAAAGUGCAGGAACAGAUGCGAGAAGACGAAGGUCUUAGCAAUCCCGUAGUUUUGCAUGGGUCUCGCUAAGAACUUCUAGUGAGGCCCGUAGUCGACGCGUAUCUCGGCUAGUACCAUUAAAGCUAAUCUGCGCGAGUAACAAACAUGGUACUUGACUAAUCUUUAAUCCUGUCUAGUCCAAUGAAGGCUAAUGAGUGCAAACAAACGUACCCUAAAAGCCUAGGUGAGGAAUCAACUGCCAUAGUUGCUUGAAAACCAGAAAUGGUAGACAUUCAACAUCGCCAGAUUUGCACCACAAAAAUAAUAAUUAUUCACCCCUACUUCGGGCCAUAUAUGUCUAUUCACAAGCCCCAAAUAAAUAAUGCUAAACCACAUAACAAUAGCAUCAUAAAACCCAAAACAAAGCUGAAACUUAUCACCAGUAAACCUGCGAACUGAAAGGAGAAGCCAAACCUCACUGCUAUAACCACCGCCCGGUGAGCAGCAAGAAUAAAGUUUCAAUGCUAGAGAAGUAUGACAUGAAUUCAAAACCAAAGGAGGCGAGGUAAAGCUCCGCAUUGAACCCAAGUGCUUGGUUUCGCACACCUUUAACUGAAUGAGCAAUGAUUCACUCUCGGGGUGGUCCGAGUACACAGAAACUCGGUUGGACUUCUUAACUAAAAGCGAACAAAUUGACCACAAAGAAGAGUCUUGAGGGUUGGAUCUAUAGUAUAUGUUACAAAAUUAAAGUUCAUUUGGAGUUACUGGAAAACUGGUACUCAAUUUCAAGCAAUAUGGAGAACUUGAAAGAUAACCAAAGGUGGGGAAAUUGGGUUCCCAAACCACCAUUUGAUGACAGAUGGGUAGACCAUAAUCUUUCGAAAGAUUAGGCACCCUACCAUCAAUUGAAAGAUGGAGCCAAACCAGGCAGUGAAGGGGAAAAAUGGGAAAGAAAAUUGGGUGGGAAAAAAAAGGGAAAGGUAAGGAAGGAUGAGAGACGCUGGGUAAAGGAAAAUUAGUGGAGGAAAUAGGGCACAAGGGUACUGAGGAAGGGAGCGAGGGUAGGGGAGGUGAGGGGGAUAGGUGGUGUGGUCUUUGGAAGAAAAAAAAGAUGACGGGAAGAGGUAAGGAGGAGAACAAGACAAAAUGGGCAGGAAGGGAGGGGGAGGUAAGAGGUAAGGGUGGCAGGGUCUUUCGAAAAGAGAGCAGAAAAUGGGAGGGGUGAGAAGAGGACUAGAGGAAAAGUGUAGUAGGGACCGCCAACCUCAAGCCGAAGCAAGAGGCGACGACUCAGUUGAUUCAGAGCUUUAGGUUUUCAAAGAGAGGGAAAAGGUUAUGAUUGUUAUCUAUUUAUUUAUUUAAUUUUGUUUGAGAAACUGGAAAUGAUAUUACCAAGGGAAGAAGCCAAAGGAAACAAACAAAAGACGACGCAUGGUAAACAGAAAUGCAAAGAUGUGGGGGCAGGGAACAAACGACACCACCACGUAUGGCAAAAGUGUCACCCAACCCAUACACAAAAACAAGCUAAUUCGGGGGAUAAGGUAAUCCAUCUUUGUUUUAGAAUUCUUACAAAUGAAGAUAGAGGUCGAUCGACCCAAAUAGAUCGCACAUCUUCAUAAACUGGUACGACGCAACAAAAUCCACCACUUCAUUCCCCGAUUUUGGGACCCAAUACCAGCUGCAAGUUUGUAUUGAGGCACCAAUAUCCAACGCCCGAGACAGGGCAGGGAAGGCCUCCCAAAAAACGUUGUCAAUAGAGUCCCGCAAGCAAGAUAUGACAUGCUUAAAGUCAGACUUUACAAUAACAUGAGCCAAGUGCGCCUGCUGGGCAAUGAGACAACCUUUGAGCAUAGCGAGAGCCUCAGCCACAGUCACACUUGAUGCAUUGACCUUCUUCUGCUUGACCACAAAACAUCUGCCCGUUGAAUCUCAAAGCACCACAUCAACGACUCCCCUAGAAAUCUUUAGUUUCCAACUUGCAUCAACGUUGAUUUUGGCCAUGUGAGCGGGUAAGGGAGUCUAUGGAGGCUACGACAUUUGGGACCAUAUAAGAGGGACAAUGGGCCUACUUAAUAGGGUACCAAGCAUCACGAACAACCCAAUUUCCAAAGAUAUGGCAUUGAUCGUCUGAAUAGUGGACAAAGGCUUGUGAUUAAGCACAACCCUAUAAUGACCCUUGCAUAUGUUCUAGCAAGUGAAGGAUGCCGUCGUGAGGAAAAAGCUUCAUCUUUUCCUUACUUCCAGAGCAUUCAUUUCCCACUUUAGUAAUCCAAGCAUCUAGGGUCAUAACUGAGGAACAGUUGACCCUAUAGUUCAGAGGUCCCCCAAACCAAACACGUUCUACCUAAAGGCAGAUAAGUAGAAAAUGUUUGAUUGAUUCCUUUUCCCCGUUGCAGAGGGGGCAAAUGGGGAAGGGUGCACAUCGUCAUUUGAAAAAACUAAGCUGUGUUGCUAAGGCUCCACAAAGUCCCCGCCACAUGAAAUUCCGAACCUUAGGUGGGGCAUCGAUACUCCAUAUGCAUUCCCAAACCUUGGGAUCCACUUCCCCAAAAGACGAAGGGCAACGUGACCUAAAGCAUUGAGCAUUAGCAUGAAGCCAUCGAUAACUGGAUUUAACGGUAUAUUAACCCCGUAGUUUUACCGGCCAAAUCAAUCAAUCAUGACGACUGAGAUUAUUAACUUGAGAAACGGAAAUGGCAAAGCACUCCCCAUCAGGAAUAAUGGAACGAAUAUUGUCCAACUGCCACUCCCGAGUCUCAAGGUUGAUAAUGAUGGAAACUUUUUGGUUGACAUCAAGAGUAGCCUUGAAGGUUGGCCUAGGGUGGCCUAGUAGGAUGACCGGGACCCAUUUAUCAAACCACAGCUUCGUUUGAUCACCACUCAUUAUUUGCCAAUGGGCUCCCUUUAAAAGGAAGUUUCUACCUUUCAGUAAACUUGACCAUGCCCAAAAAGCCCGGCCACCCUUUUUAGCUUCCAAGAAUGAGCCGUGGGGGAAGUAUUGGUCUUUAAGAACCCGUGCCCAAAGUGAGGUAGGAUCAUGGAUUAAACGCCAAUAUUAUUUGGCAAGUAAGGCCAGGUUGAACUCCUUCAAGUUUUGAAACCCUAUACCUUCAUCAUGCUUUGCAGACCCCAAAGCAUCCUAACUAACCUAAUGGAUAUGUCUCUCAUUUUCCUUUUGCCCCCACCAGAACUGAGCAAUGGCAGCAUCGAUAUCUUUGCAUAGAUUAUCAGGAAGCUUGAAGACAUUCAUCAGGUAGGCCGAGGACCGCCUCCGCCACUACCUUAAUUAAUGUUUCUCUAUCGGCCUGUGAUAGGAACUGUUGCUUCCAACCAUGAAUUUUUGCCAUAACAUGGUCUUUCACGAAGGCUAGCGCAUACCCUAGAUAGUCAGAAUGCCAAAAUACUUCCCGGGGUCAUUAACUCUAGGUAUAUUCAAGAUGGUGCAAAAUUCCUCGCACACCAAUGCUGGAGUGUGUGCACUAAAAUACACAAUGGAUUUUUGGAGGCUUACCUCUUGACCCGAGGCGUGGCAGUAUGCAUCAAGAAGUUUGACAAUGUUGAUGCAAAUGGUCUUGGACGCAUUUAGGAAAAUGAGGGUGUCGUCAGCGAAAAGAAGAUGGGAUAAGCAUGGUCCAUAACUACAGACUUUGAUGCCCUUCAAGAAACCAAGGUCCGCAACAUUCUAAAUAAGCAAAGACAGGACCUCACUAAUUAUGAGAAAUAAGUAAGGUGAUAAGAUCUCCUUGGCGUAGACCUCGUGUUGGCUUGAAAAUUUUCCCUGGCUUGCCAUUGAUUAAACCAGCGAAAUCCACCCUCAAAACACAUUUCAUCACCAGAUCAAUCCACUUCUCGUCAAAACCCAUUUUUGCCAUUGUAGCCUGGAGGAAGUCCCACUCCACCCAGUCAUAAGCUUUGUUCAUAUCAAGUUUAAUGCCCAACUCGAAUUUCCUCUUGGUCUUCCUAAGCUUCAAAAAAUGGAACACCUCAUGUGCAAUUAUAAUAUUAUCUUGGAUCUACCUUCCUUCCACAAAGGCGUUUUGACAUGGGGAGAUAAUAUUUGGGAGAAGUGGUUUUAAUUAGAAAACUUCAUUUUAAUCCUUGGCAAAGAUGACUUUUUGAUUAAACCAUGAGUACGAUCAAAAUCUAAUUUUAGUCCAUUGAUACAUUAAUAACCUCAUUUAUUAAUUAUAUUUUGAUUUUUUAAUUAUUUAUCUUUUUCUUUCUAAUUUUUAAUGUAUUAAUUUUAUUUCAUUAUAAUUUUUAUUUUCAUUUCAUUCAUCAUAAUAUAUUUUGUUGUGAACAUUUAGAUAAACUAUUUUUUGUUAUACAAUAUAUUUUGAUAUACUUUAUCUUCUUCAUUUAGGUAUAUUAAAUUCAUUAUAACACAUUUUGGUGCAUACAUUUAGGUACACACAUUUCGGUACAUAUAUUUCGAUACAAAUAUUUAGGUACAUUAAUUCAAUAUAAUACAUUUUCGGAACUAACAUUUCGGUGCAUACAUUUCGGUACACACAUUUAGGUACAUUAAUUUAAUAUUAAUACAUUUCGGUGCAUAUAUUUAGGUACAUACAUUUCGGUACUAACAUUUAGGUACAUUAAUUGAGUCUUUCAAAUUUGAAGAAUGUUAAAUAAAAUUAAUAAAUUAAAAAACUCUUUUUUGGUCAAAAAAUAAAUUAAAAUUUGUGUAUUAAUAAAUUUAAAUAUUUAAUGGGAGACAUUAAAUAAAAUGCACAUUAAUUAUUUUGAAUUAAGGACACAUUAGGGACUAAAAUCAAUAUUUAAUCUAACACCAGGUUUUUUUAAAUUUUAAUCUUCUUGAAGGAUUAAAGUUCAAAAACCCCGGUUUUAAUCGAUCUACCAGAAUUUUUUAUAAAACCUUGUAGGAGUAAUUGCAAAGAUUGAUAGGGGGAAAUUGGUUCACGGACUCCUAUAGAAAACAAAAUUAGCAAAUCAGUCUUGGUAACAAAUUAUUUAGAAGGAUUAACCAGACCUUGGUCAUGAAUCCCAUGUUACGUAAUAGUACACAAGGAUCCUAUUAUCUUACCCAGAUAUGUAUGUCAGACUUAUUUGUGAUAAGUUCUCUUUGCUUGCAUAAGUUUUUGAAAAUUUUAUAUUGAUCAGAGUCAUUUAUAAUCUGAAAAUUAUAGUUGUUAAAUUUUACACACUGUAUCUUUAAUCAAUAAUUUAACAAAUUAAAAUUUUCAAAAAUAUAAGAUAUACUGAAAUACAAUGGAAAUUCCGCCUAAAAGCUCAUUUAUCACUUAUUGUUGUAAGUUCUGCUAUCCAAUAACCACCAAUUCACAUGCCUGCAUAGCUUUAUCAAGGGACAUGAUCUAUGCUACGUACCUCUGCACAAAGGAUUUUGUCCAUCCUAGUUGUCAGGUUUGAAGGAAAUAGCUUUUAAAGGAUUGAAACAGAUGAGUCGUUGGAUGAAAUUUCAAAAGUCCCGAUCACUUGAUCUGAUGGCUUUGAUAGAAGAGAUCUGGAGACCCUAGGUUCCUUGCAUGCAAUUAAUGUAGGUUGACCCACGUAAGAGGAAUGUUAUAAAGACUAAGAUUAUAAAAAAACAAAUUACAACUUAUAUUGUUUUAAUUUUAAAUUACAUCUAAGGGUUUUUGUAUAAAAAGUCCACAUUACACGAGGAUUUGUGAAAAGAAUAUUAAUACGAUAAUGAUAAACAUCAGUCGGUCUCUCCGAAACUUAAACAAACCUUAAUCAUCGUUUCACGUAUGUCGUGGCUUUGUUCUUGUCCAAAUAUGUGGCCUUAAGUUAGCAAAUUUUAUCUUUUUUUUUUUUUUUGUCAAAGAGUAGAUAUUAUUAAAGAUAAAUUGGAAUGUUUACAUCCGACACCAGAAUAUUGAACAACCAGUCCGGCUCAAAGCCAAUCCACAAAUGUUGCUCUCCCCCCCCCCCCCCCAAUUACGCAUGGCAAAAGAAGCCACAUGAUGCACAACCUCAUUAUAGGCAUGAGGCGAAAACAAAAACUCAACAGAACACACUUGUUGUCGAAGAUGAAGAAUAUCCCAUAUAAUACCCUCCAUUGAUGCCUCCAGAACCAAGACACCAUUCAGCAUCUCUACCAAAACCUUCGAAUCUGUCUCCAACUGAACACGCUCAAAUCCCUUUUCCACACAAGCCCUUGAAGCCAAUCUCUUCACUUCUACUUGCACCAACAAACUAGAACCACACAAUAAGUCUCCCAUACCUCUGCACAUUGAAAAAUGCCAGCAAAAUCCCUAGCAACCCAUCCAAUAGCACCCCUAUUCGUUUGCUUACACCAAGCCCCUUCACAAUUAACCUCAAUAGUUCGAAAAUAAGGCUUAACCUACCUCUGCUGCGCCACAUCCAUACAAACCUACUGCCUACACCUUCGUAGAUCAGUAACCUCCUGACUCUUUAUUAUCUCCCCUCCAAUGCAGAUGUAAUAGAUCCAACGCAGCACGCGGGUCACACGUUGCCUUGUCAAAGACUACACUAUUACGGCAUUUCCAUAUCCUCCAUAGUCUAUAUACUACCCAUCGUACCAACUGGUCCGACUCCUUCUCCUCACCAUAUCUAGUGCAUAAACCCUUCCAACACUGCAUAAAGUCAGCACCCUCCACCGUCCCUACGUCCAGUUGCAACAGAGAACUAAACCAAAUCACACGUGCAAAUGAACAUCGAAAAACAAAUGAACUAGUGUUUCCUCCUCUUCUUCACAUAAAGGACAACAAGUCUCUAGUCGAAUACCCCGUCUCCUUAAGUUAGAUUGAAUUGCUAAGACAUUUCAACAUCCCUUCCAAAUAAAAUGACGCAGCUUAGGUGGAAUCCUCAAACGCCAUACUUCCUUCCAUGUAGCAUCCUGAGUAGUAUCACUGUUCGAUUGACCAAUACCCCUACGCCCAAGCUCCACAUUCAAAGACAUUUCUUGAGCAACUAAAUACCCAAACUUCACCGAGUAAAUCCCAUUUCGAGUACAAUGCCAAAUAAGACGGUCAUCACAGCCAAACUGACUUAGCGGCAUACAUAAAAUCAGUUGAGCCUCCUCUGAAUUAAAACACCGUUCCACCAGCUCCGUCCUCCAUUUCCCCCAUUGAGCCACAAACUCCGAAACCAUUGUAGGCAUGUCAACAUGUCUUGAUAGAUGACACACCCCGACCGGAGUCGAGACCGAAGAUGAAUCCUACUUGACUGCAACUAUACGCUCUUAUUGUUCUGAAAGUGUAUUUAUACACUUAAACUCUCAUUGGCAUCCUUUCUUAAUUGGGAUUGUUAUUUAAUAGGUUUUAAAUUGUUAGUAUUUCUCUUACUUUUUAUUGCUUCCGCUUUGCGCUCAUGGCUACGUCACUUUCACGUGACGGCCAACACUUCUUGACUCCGGUCGGGGUGUGUCAAUAGAGGCUUAAAUGUUCUCAGAGUAGGUAACCACAGAUCCGAUAACACCUUAACGCUUCUGCCAUCCCUAACUCUCCACCUAAGACUAGCUUUUAAAACUUUCCUACCUUGCAAUAUGCCCUUCCAUCCCCACAAUGUUCCUCUACCCACCGCCGCAUCCAGAAAAGUAGAAGAAGGAAAAUACUUCACCUUCAACACUUUAGUAAGUAAAGAAUUUGGUUUACAGAUUAUCCUUCAACCCACCUUCAAUUUCCUUUUCCAACUGAAUUGGUAAUUGAAAAUACGACAUUGUAUAAUUAGGCAAAGCCACCGCUACGCUCUUAAUUAAGACCUCUUUCCCAGUUACAGACAAAAAUUGCUCAGCCCACCCAUUUAUUCUAUCGUCUAAUCUAUUUCGAGCAUCUUCAAACACUUUCUUCUUUGAUGCCCCAAAAUCUGCUUAAAUACCCAAGUACUUCCCAAAGCCUUCCUUAUGGUGAAUACCCAACUCCUUUGAUAACAGACUUUUCAAACUUUGGGAACAUCCCUUACUAAAAUGCACCGAGCUCUUAUCCAUAUUAACAAAUUGUCUCGACCCUCCAGUGUAAUAAUGGAGCAAUCGUUUGACAUUUCGUGCCUCAACCUUCGAGGCCCGAUAGAAUAAAACUGAAUCAUCCGUAAAGAAAACAGCUAUCCCAUUAAUACGACCAACCUAUUCUUCAUGAAAAAGUAAUGACGAAAAACCCUCCGCACAAAUAAGAAACAAAAAGGGCGACAAAGGAUCCCCUUGUCUAAGGCCUCUACUCAGUUUAAUGAAUCUCUUGGGCUGACCAUUAAUAACCACACUAUAAGAUAUAGUUUGCACACAUUCAAUAAUCCACUAAAAAAAUAAAUCAUCGAAAUCCACUAACAAAAUAAAUCAUCGAAACCCAAUUUAUGUAACAUGGCAUUAAAAAACGGCCACUCCACCCUAUCAUAGGCUUUUGCCAUAUCCAGCUUGAGUGCCAUAUAAUUAAUAUCCUCAUCAGAACCACUCCUCAUAGAAUUUAAUAACUCAUGAACAACCAAGACGUUAUUAGAAAUUUACCGACCAGCUACAAACGCCGAUUUGAUUCUAACUUAUCACAUUGGGGAGAACUCGCUUUAACCGAUUAGUAAGGACUUUAGAAAUAAUCUUAUACACCACAUUGCAAAGAGAGACGGUCCAAACUGAGCCAUCUUAUUUGGAUUAUCCACUUUAGGAAUGAAUACAAUAUUAGUAUGAUUCAACUCACCUAUCAUCCGCCGCGAUUGAAAAAAAGAUUUAACCAUACCUAGAACCAUUCCACCCACUGUUUCCCAAUAAUGCUGAAAGAAUCCCGCAUUAAAUCCAUCAGGACCAAGGGACUUCGUUGGAUACAUUUGAUGAACAACACUUUCAAUCUCUAUAUCUGAAACUUGAGCAAUCAACAAAUUAUUCUGCAUGUGCCCUACCUUACACAACACAAAAGGCAUAAUCUCUUCCACAUUAGUUGGCUGAUCCGUAGCAAACAAUGCAUUAAAAUAUCGAAUAGCAAUAUUAUGCAUGCGCUGUUCAUUUGUACACCACACGCCAUCCUCAUCCUCCAGCCCACGAAUAGCAUUCCUUCGUCUCCUUUUUAAAGUCUGAGCAUGAAAAAAUCGAGUAUUCUUAUCACCCUCCUGUAACCACUGCACUCUAGACUUUGUACACCAAUAGAUCUCCUCCUUCCUUAUCGUCCUAGUAAGCUCGGCCUCCAACUCUCGAAUUUUUUUACCAUUAAAAACCGACUUUUGAUACUCUUCACGAAGUAUCUCCUUCAAACGAAUAAUUUCCUUCUGGUCAUGACCACAUAGACUUUUGAGCCAAUUAUUUGUUCUCUAAUCAAGACUCUUGACUUUUGAGUCAAUGCUUUGUUCUCUGGUUGAUUUUUACAUAUAAAAGUGAAGACUUUGACUUUUAUAUGUGGCUUUAAGUUAGCAAAUUACUUUUCUAGCAAAUUAGAGUUGGGAAUACUUUUCAGGUGCGUUUGUUGCACUGGAUUAGCUUCAGGGAAUAAGCUGGACUGGCUUAGACUAGACUAAGCUAAACUAGCUUAAUAAAGUGUUUGGUGCGAUGUCGGACUAAGAAGCUGGACUAACAAUAAAUUAUUAUUAUUAUUAUAUUUUAAUUUAUUUUCUAUUAAAAAUAUAUAAAAAAAAUUAUGAUAACCUCCAAUUGAAUUCGUAAAAUUCCAAGCUAACAAUCAAUGCUUAUUUCACAAACCCACUAUUCUUCAAGACAACCUAGAUUCUCAAAUUAAUUAAGACUUCAAAAACCCAUCUCAAACCUUCAUCACUAACCUCUUGAUCCCUAAAAACCCCUAACCUUCAUCGCUAACCUCUCUCGAUCAGCUUCUUGGUGUACCGUCCAACGACAAUAGGUCACCAUCCACACACCGAUUUUGGCCAUAUCGUCUACCGACAACAGUGAUUUGCACAGAAGAAGAAGGCGGAGUACUGCGCCUUUUUAUUUCCUCAAUUUUUAUUCUUCUUUCACAAAUAUUCUAUAAAAUUCCAUGGAAAUUGUUUGCUUGCCUUCUGGAUGGUUGAAUGCCAUUGCUGGGUUUCUUUGAAGGUUGAGUUGGGUACUUGGGUAGUGCAGCGACCCACAACUUGGCCACGGUGACGACGCCACAGAACAAUAAGCGGAGCGUGGAGGGAUUAGAGUGAAGGUUGGGAAUUGAGGAUGUUGACCUCGUUUCCUUUCUAGUCCUCCUUAACACCAAGGAAAAGCUUGGUAUUAGAUAGCGAGGGUUUGCGAAGCGCAGAAGGAUUCUUAGUUGGGGCGAGUCCCAUUUAUUUUAGUCCAAGAACCUACCAAACACAGGAUUAUAGUCUUAUUUAAGCUAGUCCAAGCCAGUCCCUCCUAAAGAGGUGUAACAAACGCCCUUCACCUUUAAAUACAUAUAGACUUUGACUUUUGUUCUUGACCAUAUAGACGUUUGAGCCAAUUAUUUGUUCUCUGAUAGAGACUCUUGACUUUUGAGUCAAUGGUUUGUUCUCUGGUUGAUUUCUACACAUAAAAGUAAAGACGAGACGAGAGAUGCAAACCAAAUCAAGGAAAUUGAGAGUUAAUGAUGCAGAAAAUGGAGAACAUGACAGAGAAGCUCCUUUUGUUUUUCCUUUUAUUUAUUUGCUUAGUAAAAGCUAGUACCUCAACGCUAUCCCCGCUCUCCGCAACAUUCACAACCAAACUCAAAGUCCAAAACAUUUUGUGUUGAUACAUGGAGGUUGUCAUGGAGCAUGGAGCUGGUAUAAGGUGGCCACUCUCUUGAAGAACUCAGGUCACCGUGUCACAGCUCUAGACUUGGGAGCAUCCGGGAUCAACCCGAUUCAGGUAGAGCAACUUCCUUUGUUAUCGGAAUUUGUCGAGCCUUUGACAAAGCUCAUGGUUUCUCUACCACCAAAUGAAAAGGUUAUCCUUGUGGCUCACAGCUAUGGUGGUGCCGUCAUAUCUAUUUUCAUGGAGAGGUUCUCUCAGAAAAUUUCUACUGCGGUGUGUCACGGCUAUCAUGUCUGGUCCUACUAUUAAUUUCUCAACUAUAUUUGUAGAGGUAAUGAACUUCACACACACAUAUAUUGGGUUGUGCUCUCUAAACCCGUGGAGUUGUUCUUCCAUCUCCAAAAUAUCGCUGAGAAAUAUCAUAAACACAGACAUGGUAAAUUCAGGCAUACUAGCUUUGCGUCCAAUGCACCAUAAUACAUGUAACAUAUGAAUGUAUAAUUAGAUGAAUAAAUUACAGAACGUUACUAUUUUCAACGCGCCACCACUGUAACCAAAAAGAAAAAAAGUGUACCAAACAAGUAUUAUACUAUUAUCCAAAUAAGUGAGAUUGUUUUUUAAAGUAAUAAGUACUAAUAAUUAUACGGGUCCAUGAACAUUAGCUCAAGAGGCAUGCAGUACUUUAUGUAAAUCUGACUAUGCACCCUAGUAUAAGUUCAAACUCUAUUGAUAUCAUUUUCUCGUGACAACUAACUAUUUAAUCAACUAAUACUAUCUUUCUAUUAAAAAAAGCAUAAAAUAUUACAUGUAAAUCUCGUAUCAAUUUUAUGUGUGAACUCAUAACAGUGUAAAGAAUAAUGACAAGUUUGAAGGAUUUCCGAAAAUUGUUAGAGAGAGAAGAGAAAAACUCAAUUGAAUACAAUGAAUGAAUUACAAGAUGAUUCCCAAAUGCCUAACCAUUUUACUUUUAGGAGUGUGCUAUCCACACACCCCUUUUUACUUCUCACACACCCCUUAUUAAUUUUUGUCCUUUGAUCUUCUUCAAUUCAUUCGAUCCGACGGCCGAAAAUUAAAAGGGUGUGUGAGAAGUAAAAAAUGAUGUGUGGAUAUCACACCUCUACUAUCCACCUCUACUUUUAUAGUAAACUAACUAAUGACAUAAUUACUAAACUACCCUUGCUUACAAUCCUACCUAUUUCUAACUAACUUGAUCCAUACAACCACCUUAUAACAACCAAUUGCCACAUGUACAUUGUAGUUAUUACUCCUCCCUUAAACUAAGCGUGGUACUACCUAGCUUAGUUUGCUACAAUGGUGUUGGAGGUCCUAAACCAAGGUGUCUGCAAUGCUUGAGAAAUAAUGGACUGUGUAGACGUAUGGUAAAAACAUCUACGACUUGAUCUUCUAUUGGAAUGUAGUGCACACUUCUAUCUCCCUUUUGUACCUUUUCUCGAAUGAAAUGGUAAUCCGUGUCAAGAUGUUUAAUCUUGGAAUGGAACACAAGAUUGGAACUUAAUGCUAAAACUAACAGAUUGUCACAGUGAAGUGAAGGUGGUUUUGAUAAGAACUGAUGAAUGUCUCUGAACACAGAUCUGAUCCAAAAUAUAGCAGCAGCACAAUGAGCUAAUGCUUUGUAUUUAGCUUCUAUUGAACUCCUCGAGACAGUUGUUUGUUUCUUUGACUACCAUUAGAUUAGAUUGGAUCCCAGAUACACUACAAAACCUGAAUGGACCUUCUAGUGUUGAUAUAUGCUGCCAAAUCAGAGUCUGAAUAGGCAGUAACUUGAAAUCUGUGCUCUUCGUAUAGUGUAAACCAUAGUUUAUGGUCCCUUGCACAUACCUGAGUAUUAUUCACCAAGUGAAAAUGAGCAUCUGUAGGUUGUGUCAUAUAUUGACAGAGUGUGCAAGAUCUGGUCUUGUAAACGUGAGGUAUUGGAGAGCUCCCACAAUACUCCUAAAGUGACUUGGAUCAUAUAAUAGACUUCCUUUGUCUGCAAGUAUCUGAGUGUGAGGUUUGGAUGAAGUUGAUAUUAGUUUGCAAGUUUCCAUACUAGCUUUCUUCAAUAGUUCUUUAGCAUACUUAGACUGAUGUAUAAACAUAGAUCCAUCAACAUUGUAUUAAACAUGUAACCAAGAAAAUAAGUGAGUUUACCCAUGUCUUUAAGGUCAAACACCUCUGCCAGGUUAUUGAUCACUUACUGAAUUUUAGUUGGACAUGACCCAAUGAGGAUUAUAUCAUCAACAUAGAGCAGAAGUAGAACAAUAUCACUGUUAUCAACUUUAACAAGCAAACUUGUGUAGGAAAGUGAUGCUUGAAAAACCAAAAGCUGGAAGAUAACUAGUGAACUUUGAAUUCCAUGCCCUUGGGGCUUGUUUUAACCCAUAAAGUGACUUCACCAACCUGCAAACAUGAUUAGGAUGUUCAGAAUCCACAAAUCCUUGAGGCUUCUUCAUAUAAACUUCUUCCUCAAGGUCCCUAUGUAGAAAUGCAUUCUUAAUGUCAAGUUGUCUCAAAGACUAACAAAAAUGUGCUGCCAAUGCAAGUAUAAUUCUAACUGUGGUAUGCCUGACCACUGGGCUAAAUGUUUUAGAAUAAUCAAGACAUUGUUCCUGAGUAUACCCCUGUGCAACCAGUCAAGCUUUAAAUCUUGAUAUAGAACCAUCUGGGUUCUUUUUAACCUUAUAAACCCAUUUACUCCAAUGACAGUCAAAUUGGAUAGAGGUGGUACCAAAAGCCAUGUUCCCUGAGCUUUUAAAGCAUUGAAUUCCUCCUGCAUAGCUAUUUACCAUUCAACUUUAUUGGAAGCACAUUGAAAGUUUUAGGCUUUUCUACAUCAGUUAUAUCAGCCAAGAAGGAAAAACCAACAUGAGAUUGAUCAAAUAAUUAAGUAUCAGAAAAUGUAUCGAUGAGUUACAAUGAGAUAACUCAGGUAGUAAUGCCAGAAAGCUAGCAUAGUUUUUCCUUGUAAUUGCACCAGUUUGUAGUCUAGUUUGUAUACCAUGAUCUCUCAACCCAGAAUGUAUUGAAUCAUUAUUACAAGAAGAAGUAGAGAAUGGAAGAACUACAUGUAGUUGUGCAGGAUAUAAGACAAGGAGCAACGAAGUUGUAUCACUUUGAGUGGAAAAAGUAUAGCCAAAAGAUGAUGUUGAGUCUUGAAUCUGAGAACUGGAUGUUGAUUAACAAUCAUGAACAUGAGAACUUGAUGUUGAUGAACCGUUAAAACCUUGAGUGCAAUUUUGAUGCUGAUCAUUUACCCCAGAAAAAUGUGAGCCAGAUUGAUUUGAACCAGAAAUCUCAGAUGAUGCAUAUGAUGGUAUUGUAGAGUUAGACAAAGGAACUGGGUGAUCUACAUGCCUUGUGCUUAAUUGACUUUGAGGAAUGGGAAUUAUAACAAGAACUGGUAGGGAAUGCUAAGGUUCUUGGCUAUUUGACACUGUCACAAAUUGUGAUUUAAACAAUUUACUAAGGAAACUAGAUUCCUCAAAUAUCACAUGUCUAGAAAUAAUACAUUUUCUAGUUUGUAUGUUGAAGCAGAUAACACCUUUAUACCCCAUCGAAUAUCCCAGAAAAAUACACAUAACAGACCUAGGUUAUAGCUUAUUUGCAUUAUAGGGUCUUAACCAAGGAAAUACUGCAGAACCAAAAAUCUUCAAUGAUUGCAAGUUUGGAGCCUUUUUGUACAUCAACAGAUAAGGAAAACUCAUCGAAAGUGUUUUGCUAGGCAUCCUAUUGCACAAGCAACAACAACAACAACAAAGCCUUUUCCCACUAAGUGGGGUCGGCUAUAUGAAUCCUAGAACGCCAUUGCGCUCGGUUUUGUGUCAUGUCUUCCGUUAGAUCCAAGUACUCAAGUCUUUUCUUAGGGUCUCUUCCAAAGUUUUCCUAGGUCUUCCUCUACCCCUUCGGCCCUGAACCUCUGUCCCGUAGUCACAUUUUCGAACCGGAGCGUCAGUAGGCCUUCUUUGCACAUGUCCAAACCACCGGAACCGAUUUUCUCUCAUAUUUCCUUCAAUUUUGGCUACUCCUACUUUACCUCGGAUAUCCUCAUUCCCAAUCUUAUCCUUUCUCGUGUGCCCAUACAUCCCAGGAAGCAUCCUCAUCUCCGCUACACCCAAUUUGUGUACGUGUUGAUACUUCACCGCCCAACAUUCUGUGACAUACAACAUCGCUGGCCUUAUUGCCGUCCUAUAAAAUUUUCCCUUGAGCUUCAGUGGCCUACGACGGUCACACAACACGCCGGAUGCACUCUUACACUUCAUCCAUCCAGCUUGUAUUCUAUGGUUGAGAUCUCCAUCUAAUUCUCCGUUCUCUUGCAAGAUAGAUCCUAGGUAGCGAAAACGGUCACUUUUUGUGAUCUUCGCUAGAUUGCUCCGGUCAUUAGUGUGGAUAAGUAUAUAAAUGGAUAGAAAUAGGAAAGCAAACACAAGAUGUACAUGGUUCACCCAGAUUGGCUACGUCCACGGAAUAGAGUUCUCAUUAAUUGUGAAGGGUUUACACAAGUACAUAUGUUCAAGCUCUCCUUUAGUGAGUACAAGUGAAUGAUUUAGUACAAAUGACAUUAGGAAAUAUUAUGGGAGAAUGAUCUCGUAACCACGAAACUUCUAAGUACCGGAGUGUGGUAUCGUCUUGACUUGCCUUAUCUGUCUCAUAGGUAGAUGUGGCAUCUUCUCUGGAAGUACUCUUCCUCCAUCCAUGGGUGGUAUCUGUAACUGGUGGAGAUGCACAAGGUAAUGUAUCAAUUUCACUUGAAGCUUACUUGUAGUUUCAGGCUUGGUCAAGCGCGAUACAAACCAUGUAGUAGGAGUCUCCCAAGUCGCCGAGCUAGGGGAUCUGCUGAAAGAGGUGACAGACAAGGUAAGCAAUCAGAGCUCCGGCUGAUUUUUCACAUUCUCCCUAUCUUGCAGGCAGCAUGAAGGAUAAAGAGAAGAAAAAUGAGAAGAGAUGAUAUGGGAUACUUUUGCUUUUGAAGAAGUAACUUUCCACAGGCUUAUUCUUGAACUGGGCUGGAGGGUUUUCUGGUUUCCUCCAGAGUAUAAGGUCGACUGAAGAAUUUGAGGGUCAAAACAAGUCCAUCAAAUCUAGAGUACGUUCGACCCUGCUGAUAUGAGAUACUUUUGCUUUUGACAGAGUAGUGGAUGUAUCGGCACGUGUGCUGUUACGCUUGUCUCCACAUGCUUCCUUGUAUCCUUCUCACUUGCCUUAUCUGUUCCUCAGGCAGAUGUGGUAUCUUCCUUGGAAGCAUAAGAUGUUGAAGAUGAGUACUCGAGAGCAAUGCCAGGUAAGUAAUCAGGUAAGGGGUUCCAGGCAGUCAGUUCCUGGCUGGAAGCUUGAUUCCAAGUGCUGACUGAUUGUUCUCUUUCUCCUUGUCUUGCAAGUAAGAACAAGGCCAAAGGAAAAGACAGGGAAAAAGCAUGAUAUGGGAUACUCUUGCUUUUAACCCUGAUGAUAUAAGAUAUUCUUGCUCUAGUAUAGGUUGUUUACAGAGGUAUUAUCGGGGGGAAAGAAAGCUGAAUAUUUCGAAAGGCUUCGUUGGGAGUGCCUUCUCAGAUAAGAGGAAGGGUUGAGCAUUUUUGCAGGUCUGCCUGUCCGUUGGGGAUGGAGGUCGACAUAUAUAAGAGUCUCCCUAACAUCAAGUAAUAAUGCUAUUCCUUUACCCUGCUUGGUCAUAGCACGGUAGUGGGAGCUGCCAGCUUCACAUGUUUUAACUCUGUCAGAGCACUUUGAAAAAAUGGUCUGUGGUAUCUGGAAAGCUGAUGUUGUGUGUGAAGAUUACAGACAAGCUUUAUCCAAGGAGAUCCAGCUCUUGAAGUUGGGAAAGUGGUGCCUCUUCGGUUUUCGAACAAGCAAUCCUGUCGGGGAUCUGGCUCUCGAGAUUCGGAGAACGAUGCCUCUUCGAUUUUUAAGAAAGCAAUCCUGCUGGUCUACCUUACCACAAAGCACAAAGGUUGACACACAGAGACUUUCCAAUUAUCCAGCAGUGGUACUGUUCCUUUACCCUCUCUUCGAUUUUUGAGAAAGUAAUCAUGUUGGGAGUCUGGCUCUCGAGAUUCGGAGGGCGGUGCCUCUUCGAUUUUGGAGCAAGCAAUCUUGUUAGGAAUGUUUUCUCGAAUGUGAGUAAAGGUUGGGCAUGUUUACUAGUCUACCUUGCCACGAAGCACAGAGGUUGUCACACAGGGACUUUCCAAUUAUCCAGCAGUGGUACUGUUCCUUUACCCUCUCUUCGAUUUUUGAGAAAGUAAUCAUGUUGGGAGUCUGGCUCUCGAGAUUCGGAGGGCGGUGCCUCUUCGAUUUUGGAGCAAGCAAUCUUGUUGGGAGUGUUUUCUCGAAUGUGAGUAAAGGUUAGGCAUGUUUGCUAGUCUACCUUGCCACGAAGCACAGAGGUUGACACACCGGGACUUUCCAAUUAUCCAGCAGUGGUACUGUCCCUUUACCCUUGUGGGUAAUAAUAUGGUAGCUAGACCUUCAAAAUUUAUGUGUCUAAACUUUGUUAGUGUUGUUUCUUUGUUAUUCUUUUACCCUUCUUGGUCAGAGCGAUGUAGUGGGAGCUGCAAGCUUCAUGCGUCUCAACUUUGUCAGAGAACUUUGGCAAAGUUAUCUGUGGUACCCAUGAGCUACUGUUGCGUGUGGGAAGUGGGUGAUUGAACAGUACGAUUCAUGUGCUUUCUACUUCGCCAGAAAUCUUCGACAGAAUGCCCAUAAUUUCCGCAAAGUUGAGUGUGCGUGUGACAGGUGCUGACAAGGCUGGAAAAGUAGAUGCCUCUUCGAUUUCUGAGAUCGACCCUCGUGGUCUCUGAGCAGCCCAGCUUUUGAGAAAGCAAGUCUCUUCGAUUUCUGAGAUCGGCCUUCGUGGUCUUUGAGCAGCCCAGCUUUUGAGAAAGCAAACGCCUCUUCGAUUUCUGAGAUCGACCAUCGUGGUCUCUGAGCAGCCCAGCUUUUGAGAAAGCAAACGCUCUUUCGAUUUCUGAGCAGGCGCCUCUUCGAUUUCUGAAGCUUCGUCGAGUGCAGAUUUUUAUAGGGGCUGACAUUAAGUUCCAAAGCACACUUGAAUAUCCACCAGUAGAAGCUCCAUUCUUGCACUUCUAAGAUCUUGAUUUGUCCGACCUCUUCUCUCUUCAACACCUUUGAAAAUGUCUGGCCCCUCCGACCGUCAUUUUGACUUGAACCUUGUUGAAGAGGCAGCCCCGCCUUCUCCAGACAACAUAUGGCGCCCAUCCUUCGUCUCCCCUACUGGUCCUCUUACCGUUGGGGAUUCUGUGAUGAAGAAUGAUAUGACCGCUGCGGUAGUGGCCAGGAACCUUCUCACUCCCAAAGAUAACAGACUACUUUCCAAACGGUCUAAUGAGUUGGCUGUUAAGGAUUAUCUGGCUCUCAGUGUUCAGUGUGCAGGUUCUGUGUCUAAUAUGGCCCAACGCCUAUUUGCUCGAACCCGCCAAGUUGAAUCAUUGGCGGCUGAAAUGAUGAGUCUCAAACAGGAGAUUAGAGGGCUCAAGCAUGAGAAUAAACAGUUGCACCGGCUCGCACAUGACUAUGCUACAAACAUGAAGAGGAAGCUUGACCAGAUGAAGGAAUCUGAUGGUCAGGUUUUAUUUGAUCAUCAGAGAUUUGUGGGUUUGUUCCAAAGGCAUUUAUUGCCUUCGUCUUCUGGGGCUGUACCGCGUAAUGAAGCUCCAAAUGAUCAACCUCUGAUGCCUCCUCCUUCUAGGGUUCUGUCCAGUACUGAGGCUCCGAAUGAUCCCCCUCCGGUGCCUUCUCUUUCUGGGGCUCUACCGACUGCUGAGACUUCUCCUAAGCAACCUUUGUGAAGGCUCCCUCUUGUUUGUUUAUUUUGACUCAAGUAUAUGUACAUAUUUGUAACUUAUCGGGGAUAUCAAUAAAUAAGCUUUCAUUCAUUUCAACGUAUUGUGUUAAAUACACCAAAGCUUUCUUCGCUAAGUUCUUUGAAUUUUCUUUUGUUGAAGCUUGUAUGUUGAAGCUUUGUGAGUGGAGCAUGUAGGUUGAGGUAGUGUUCCCUUAAUUUCCCGAGUGAGGAAAACUUCUCAGUUGGAGACUUGGAAAAUCCAAGUCACUGAGUGGGAUCGGCUAUAUGAAUCUUAGAACGCCAUUGUGUUCUGUCCUGUGUCAUGUCCUCCGUUAGAUCCAAGUACUCUAAGUCUUUUCUUAGGGUCUCUUCCAAAGUUUUCCUAGGUCUUCCUCUACCCCUUCGGCCCUGAACCUUUGUCCCAUAGUCGCAUCUUCUAAUCGGAGCGUCAGUAGGCCUUCUUUGCACAUGUCCAAACCACCGUAACCGAUUUUCUCUCAUCUUUCCUUCAAUUUCGGCUACUCCUACUUUACCCCGGAUAUCCUCAUUCCUAAUCUUAUCCUUUCUCGUGUGCCCACACAUCCAACGAAGCAUCCUCAUCUCCGCUACACCCAUUUUGUGUACUUGUUGAUGCUUCACCGCCCAACAUUCUGUGCCAUACAGCAUCGCCGGCCUUAUUGUCGUCCUAUAAAAUUUUCCCUUGAGCUUCAGUGGCAUACGGCAGUCACACAACACGCCGGAUGCACUCUUCCACUUCAUCCAUCCAGCUUGUAUUCUAUGGUUGAGAUCUCCAUCUAAUUCUCCGUUCUUUUGCAAGAUAGAUCCUAGGUAACGAAAACGGUCGCUCUUUGGUAUUUCUUGAUCUCCGAUCCUCACCCCUAACUUGUUUUGUCCUCCAUUUGCACUGAACUUGCACUCCAUAUAUUCUGUCUUUGAUCGGCUUAGGCGAAGACCUUUAGAUUCCAACACUUCUCUCCAAAGGUUAAGCUUUGCAUUUACCCCUUCCUGAGUUUCAUCUAUCAACACUAUAUCGUCUGCGAAAAGCAUACACCAAGGAAUAUCAUCUUGAAUAUGUCCUGUUAACUCAUGCAUUACCAACGCAAAAAGGUAAGGACUUAAGGAUGAGCCUUGAUGUAAUCCUACAAUUAUGGGAAAGCUUUCGGUUUGUCCUUCAUGAGUUCUUACGGCAGUCUUUGCUCCUUCAUACAUAUCCUGUAUAGCUUGGAUAUAUGCUACUCGUACUCCUUUCUUCUCUAAAAUCUUCCAAAGAAUGUCUCUUGGGACCUUAUCAUACGCUUUUUCUAAAUCUAUAAAGACUAUGUGUAAAUCAUGUUUCCCAUCUCUAUAUCUUUCCAUCUCUAUUGCACAAGCAAAAUACCAAAAUUCAAAUGACAAACUAGCAACAUUACACAAGAUGAUUGCAGUUUCAACUAUGUGUCUAUGUUUUCUCUCUGCCAAUCCACUAUGUUGUGGAGUGUAAGGGCAUGAGAUUAACUGAACAAUACAUUUGCUUGCAAGAAAGGAAGUAAAGCUUUUACUAAUGUACUCCCUUCCCCCAUCUAUUUGUAAAGACUUAAUAUGUAUCACAAACUGUGUAAGAACAAAAUUAUAGAAUCUCACAAAAAUUGCAAAUACAUCUGAUUUAUUGCUUAGGGAAAAAUCCACACAUAUCUAAUAUAUUCAUCAAUCAAUGUUAUAUAAUACCUAUAUCAUUCUAAGGAUCUCACAAGAGAAUGACCCCAAAUAGCAAGAUAAAAUUGUUGUGGAACAUGUUGAGGCAGUUGAGAAGGAACAUAAGAGUUGUCUUGAAACUGAGAUGAAGAUCCAUAUGGCACAGCAAUGAUUGUACCACCAGUACUAUCAGGUAUAUGACUAUGAUUUUGAAAGUUAGAACAUGAUGCAUAACUAGAUUUAAAACUAGAGCCCUGAACAAACAUUGCAGGCAUGCUCUGUGACAGCACAUUCAUUGCUCCCUUAAUUUCUUUCUCAGCCCCAAAAAGCUGUGCUCUAAAUUCCUUCUUGGUAAUAGACGACUCCCUAGCCAAGAUUACAGUUCGAAUGACUACAUAUUCUUUAGGUAGACCAGCAAGUCCAACAAUCAUGAUGUCUAUCAGAUACAGAUUCACCUGCUGCAGUUAACUGCUCUAUAAUUCCUUUUAAUUUCAGCAGAUACUUGUUAAUAGAAUCAGUUCCUUUCUUAAUUGUAUGCAACUCUAUCUUAAGAUGAUUAACCUUAGACUUUGAAACAGAAGCAUAUAUAUCAACAAGAUUUGUCCAUUCUUCAUGAGCAGUCUUACACCCAAUAACAUAUUCUAUUGCCUCAUCAGUCAAAGUGGCAAGUAAAAGACUUAACAAUACUAUGUCUGUAGACUCCCAAUCAAUGAGCCCCAAUGAUUUCUUUUGUAACACUAGCUUCAGUCCUAACAACAUAUUUUGGUGGACACAGUUGUGCCAUCAAAAUGACCAAACAAUUUGUAACCUCUUAGAACAGAUUGAAACUGAAAUGCCCAUUUGGCAAAAUUAUCAUCUUUUAGCUUUAUAGUAAGCAUAUCCAAUACUCCUUCCACUUUCAAAUUUGGAGUAGUCAUGACUAUUUUCACAAACGACAACUAAUCACUGAUUCGAAUUAUAUGCAGAGAAUGACACUAUGAUCUUAAGAAGAAAGACUGACACUUUCUUGAAGGAAGAUGACUUUCUUGAUUUAGAAAGAAUGACACUUUCUUGACUAAAAACUUCUUAUCUCAACACAUCCAUAUCAAUAUAUGAAGAUUAUCAGAAUCAUCCAAAUCAACAGAAAUAUCGCAGAUCAAUAAAAAAACAUCCAGAAUCAACAUCUUGAGAAACCAAUUAUAAUCUUCGAAUGCAAGUAAAGAAUUAGAAUAAAGAAACGGGAACACCCGAGAUGAUUGUAGAAAUAGCUAAAAAACCUAGAAAAAGCUUUGCAACCAAUAAUUCCAAGCAAUCUUCACUUUAAUCAACCAACACAGCAGCAGAAAUCGCACCACUCCAUUGUACCAAUUUUGCUCCUCUGCAGCACCCCUCAAUAUCGAUAGCAGCAAAAGAAUCAGGAUCGGAACUGGUGAUGAACCAUUUCCGACGAUGAUACCAUCAUAAUAGUGUAAUGAACAAUGAAAAGUUUGAAGGAUUUCUGAUAAAUGUUAGAGAGAGAGAAGAGAAAAACUCUAUUGAAUACAAUGAAUUGAUCUCAAGAUGAUUCCCAAAUGUCUAAUCACUUUACUUUUUUACUUUUUAGAGAAUUGUUAUUAUCAUUCUAAAAAUCUUAUUUGAUAUUUUAAACUUUUUUAAUAAUUAAAAAGAAAAAUACACUUGUGAGGAAUGUAGAAUGAAAUUUUUGAAGUGCUAAUAACAAUUCUCUACUUUUAUAGUAAACUAACUAAUGACAAAAUUACUAAAUUGUCCCUUCUUACAAUCCCACAUAUUUCUAACUUAAUCCAUACAACCACCUUAUAACAACCAAUUGCUACAUGUCAACCCAUUGCCACAUGUACAUUAUAGUUAUUAAGAACAAGAAUAGUUAGUAUCAAUCAUUUUUGUCCAAUAAGAGUACAUAAAGCUCGGUAUACCCUUCGAAACCUUAGUACAUACACACACAUAUAUAGGAAAAUGUUAUUGGCACUCCAAAAAUCUUAUUCUACACUCAUCACAAGUAAAUUUUUCUUUUCUAAUAUAGAAAGUUUGGAGUGUAGAAUGAGAUUUUUGGAGUGCUAAUAACAAUUCUCAUCUCAUGCUACAUUUCUCACAAGUAUAUUUUUCUUUCCUACUAUAGAAAGUUUGGAGUGUAAAAUAAAUUUUUUUGGAAUGCUAAUAACAAUUUCUUAUAUAUAUAUAUAUAUAGAUAUUGAGUACGUAGAUAAUUAUUUUCAUAUCUACUUUCAGUUGAAAAUAUAUGGUUUAAGGGGUAUUAGAAAAUAAAUCAAAAUAAUCAUGAGCUCACAAGGAGAAUGAAACCUAAAUUUUAAAGUAAUAAUACAAAAUCCGUAUUCAUAUCUAUCCAAAAAGGAAUUUGGUUGAAUUUUUUUAUUUUGUGUGGUUCUUAUGGUGAUUUUGUAAUUUCAAUGUGACUCUCGUGAUGAAAAAGUUGUUACUUAUAAAGGAAUAAAUAAUUUAUAUGAGAUGCUUAUAGGACAAGAGGCGUGACUAUAGAAAAUGAGAUAUUGAUUCACAUUGAAGAGAUACAACAAAUAUACCAAGAGAUAUAACUCUUAAAUAAAGGGUCACGAACAUUUAAUAAGGGAGUGAUCUCCUUUAGUUGUCUAUAAACAAGAUUGCAGUCAACCCAUUUCCUUCUAUUUCCAGUUCACUAGCCAAAAAGAGAGUCAAAAUAUAUCUUCUUGCGCCCAGUAUAACAACAGCCAUCACUGGAGAUCAUAAUUUAUUUAUUAGUAUGGAGAGUUUGUUAUAAAUAUGUAAAAGUUAGAAAGAUAACAUUUACUAAUAACAGGAGUGAAGCAUGUGUACAAUAUCAUACUGAAACUAUAGCACAAGAGGAUGACAAAUAAAAGAGGGAGGAAUAGAUUGUGAAGUAAUUAAUCUUUCAUUUCUUCUCAGUAUAUCAUUCUGUCAUUUAAUAGCAGUCGGAGCGCUCUAUUUAUAGAGCGGCUCCAUACAAAUAGGUUCUUACAGGUUGAAAUUUACAGCACAUGACUUUGAAAAUAUGAUCACCUUUAUUUCCAAAGUCUACAUCGUUUUAUGUGGGUAUUGAAAAACUUAUGUGGGCAUUCAUUAAACUGCCAACGGUUUCAACAUUGCCAAUGUUUUCAACUGCUAAUGUUUUCAACUGUUAAUGUUUUCAACACUCCCCUUGGAUGCCCACAUAUCAACAUUAGUUGCCUCGUUAAAACCUUGCUUGGAAAAACCCAAUGGGAAAAAAUCAUAGCGAAGGAAAAAAAAUACAACUUUACCUCGAUUGUUGAUAUAGUGUUAAGUAUGCUUAUGUUGCCUCGUUAAAACCUUGAUAGGAAAAAUUCAGUGGGAAAAAUCCUAAUCGAAGGAAAAAAAAUACAACAUGCAUGAAUCAUGGAUGCUCCCCCUGAUUCUGCAUUCUCCAAAUUUAGCUGUUUGGUAAGUCGACGUAAUCCGAUACUUUGCACUAACUUUUGAAAUGUGCAUUUUAGUAGGGACUUGGUGAACAAGUCUGCCAGAUUUUCAUUGGAAUGGAUUUGUUUGACUUCAAUAACUUUAGCCUUCUGAAGCUCAUGUGUGCUGAAAAACUUUGGAGAUAUGCAUUUAGUCUUAUCGCCCUUAAUAAAUCCUUCCUUCAUUUGGGCAACACAUGCUGCAUUAUCUUCAUGAAUGACAGUUAGAUUGUCUGUCUUUGAAGUUAGACCACAUGAAUUCCGGAUAUGAUGGAUCAUUGAUCUUAACCAGGAACGUUCACGACUUGCUUCAUGUAAAGCAAGUAUUUCUAAGUGAUUGGAAGAUGUAGCAACUAGUGUUUGCUUUGUUUAGCGUCAUGAGAUUACUGUAUCUCCAUUCUUGAACACAUAUCCAGUUUGUGAGCGGGCUUUAUGCGGAUCAGAGAGGAAACCAACAUCUGCAUAUCCAAUAAGGACCUGAUCAUUUGUGGAUUUCUUUGACUAGAAGAGACCCAUGCCUGUUGACACCCUUCCAAUGACGAAUUGUUGGAGCAGAGUUAUAUCUUGCUAACAAGUUGACUGAAAAAACUAUAUCUGGUUUAGUACAUUGUCCUAAAUAUAAUAAAGCACAUAUUGCACUCAAAUAUGGUACUUCUGGACCAAGGACCAGUUCAUCAUCUUCUUUUGGACGAAAUUGAUCUUUCUUAAUGUCUAAAGAAUGAACGACCAUUGACGUGCUGAGUGGAUAAACCUUGUCCAUGCCAAAUCGCUUUAGGAUUUUUUCAAUGUAAGCUGAUUGGUGAACCAAAAUUCCAUUAGCACAAUGCUUGAUCUGCAGGCUGAGACAAAAUUUUGUUUUUCUAAGGUCUUUCAUUUCAAAUUCGCUUUUUAGAUAUUCAACAGUUUUAUUAAGCUCUUCAGGGGUUCCAACUAGGUUCAUAUCAUCGACAUAUAUUGCCACUAUAGCAAAUCCAGAGUUGGAUUUCUUAAUGAACAUAUAAGGGUAAAUGACAUUAUUGGUAUACCCUUCUUUGAUUAAAUACUCAUUGAGAUGAUUAUACCACAUUCGUCCAGAUUGUUUCAACCUAUACAAUGAUCACCUUAAUUUGAUUGAGAGCAUACCUUGUGAUUUGUUAGUUGUUUCAGGUAACUUAAGUCCUUAUGGGACUUUCAUAUAUAUAUAUCAAUAUCUAAUUCUCUAUAUAGAUACGUGGUGAUGACAUCCAUAAAUCGCAUGUCAAGUUUUUUUUUAAACCACUAAACUUAUUAAGUAACGGAACGUAAUUGCGUCUAUUACAUGAGAGUAUGUCUCCUCAUAAUCAAUUCCAAUUCUUUGCGAAAAACCUUGUGCAACAAGUCAUGUUUUAUAUCUUGCAAUCUCGUUUUUCUCAUUGCGUUUCCUUGUGAAUACCCAUUUGUAACCCAUGGGGUUUACACCAGGCAGAGUUUGGACUACUGGUCUAAAAACAUUUCGCCUUUCCAAGGAAUUUAAUUCUGGCUGGAUUGCAUCUUUCCACUUAGGCCAAUCUUGUCUCUGUUUACAUUCAUCAACAGAGCGGGGCUUAAUAUCAUCACUUAAUAUGAUUUCAGUGGCUACUGUGAAUGUGAACAUAUCGUCGAUGAUUAUUCCAUUCUGAUCCCACAAUUCAUUAGUACAUACAUAAUUUAUGGAGAUUUCUUUGCUCUCAUGUACUGCUAUCUCUUCAGGGACAUGUGUCUCAUUAAAGACAUUUUCUUUUUCUGGAAGUCCAGAAUCAUGAAUUGUAGAUUUGCCAUUCAUUCUCUCUUCCUGAAUGAUUUCAUUUAGAUUCAGCUGUGCCCUUAUCUUUCUCUUCCGAGGGGCUGAAUCUUUCGAAUCUGGGGGUCUACCACGCUUCAGGCGUGUACCAGAUGAAUCAUUCGCUACCACUUUAUUUUGUCCGAUAGGGACAUCAAUUCUUGCAGGUGCAUUUGCAGCUGGUAUAUGUGAUUUUGUCACUUUCAUAGCAUCAUUAAAUGCAUUUGGCAUUUGAUUGGCAAUGCUUUGAAGAUGAAGGAUCAUUUUCACUUCAUUUUCACAUUGAGUGCUAUGUGGAUCAAAAUGAGACAAUGUGGGAACAACCCAUGUCAGCUAUUUUCGUUCUUCUGGAAUGGCAUUUUCUCCCCUUAAUGACGGGAAGACUGUCUCAUCAAAGUGACAAUCAGAAAAAUAAGCUGUAAACAUAUCACCUGUUAAGGGUUCCAAAUAUCUGUGAUAGAUGGUGAAUCAAAACCCACAUAAAUUCCUAGUCUAUGCUGAGGUCCCAUUUUAGUACGUUGCGGGGGUGCAAUAGGCAUAUAAACAGCACAACCAAAAACUCGUAAAUGUGAAAUGUUUAGCUGAUGCCCAAACACGAGUUGUACUGAAGAGUAUUGAUCGUUGGCUAUAGGUCUCAAUCGAACCAAUGAUGCAGCAUGUAAGAUGGCAUGUCCCCAUGCAGAAAUUGACAAUUUUGUUUUCAUGAGCAGAGUGCGAACUAUUAACUGAAGCCGUUUGAUCAAUGCUUCUGCUAAACCAUUUUGAGUAUGGACAUGAGGAAUAGGGUGUUCAACAUCAAUGCCCAAUGUCAUGUAGUAAUCAUCAAAGGUUUGAGACGUAAAUUCACCAGCAUUAUCAAGUCGGAUUGACUUAAUGGGGUGAUCUGGGAACUGUGCUCGUAACUUAAUUAUCUGAGCAAUAAGUCUUGCAAAAGCUACAUUCUGAGUAGACAAGAGACAAACAUGUGACCAUCUGGUAGAUGCAUCAACCAAAACCAUAAAAUAUCGAAAUGGUCCACAAGAUGGUUGGAUAGGUCCACAAAUAUCUCCUUGAAUUCUUUGCAAAAAUGAUGGGGAUUUAGCAUCAACCUUUAGUUGUGAUGGUCUGAUUACCAACUUCCCUUGAGAACAAGCUUUGCAAGGGUUAGCAUUUGUGAUAACAAUAUGUUUGCUUAAUAAUGGAUGUCCAUUAGAGUUUGUAAUAAUCAUACGCAUCAUGGUAGAUCCUGGGUGACCCAGACGGUCAUGCCAAAACAUGUAAACUUUUGAAUCAAUGAACUUCUGGUUCAUGACAGUAUGUGAUUCAACUGUCUUUAUGCAUGUAUAAUACAAUCCACUCGACAAACCACACAACUUCUCCAAUAUACGCUUCUGCGUAUCAUUGGAGGUAAUGCAUAAAUACUCCAUAUUUUCAGCACUUUUCGUUUCAAUGUGGUAUCCAUUUAAACGUAUGUUUUUGAAACUCAACAAAUUUCGAGUAGAUCGAGUAGCAUACAACACAUUAUGUAUGGACAAUAUUGUUCCAUUUGGUAACAUAAUCUCGGCUUUCCCUGAGCCUUCAAUUACAUCUGAUUUGCCUGAUAUUGUUGUUACCCUUACUCUUGUAAGCAUCAAGCUUAAGAAAUACUUUCGAUCAUGAAGUAUUGUAUGUGUGGUUGCGCUGUCUGCAAGACAAAUAUCUCUACCAUUUCUCAUGUUCUGAGAAUAACCAUAGUUUUUAUCCAUGCUUUCUGAGUAAAAGGGGAUCACGGUUAAAAACAACUUAUAACAUGAAAUUUGAAUGCCACUUUUAUUGAAUCGAAAUGCUAGUUUUAAACUACAAGUUCAGAAUAAUAAAAGCACAUCAAACAUAAAUGAUUCAGUCGGACCAGUAUACUUCAUUCCCCCUUUCCACAAUAAAGUCUGAAACAUCUAGGUAAGUUGUGUUCAAUUGCCCUGAUAAGUCGCACACUGGAUCAGGUAUAUCCAUUGGUUUAGCCUGGUCGAGAAAAAUAGUCUUGACACCCUUCUCCUUGAGGGAGGCUUGAUAUAAAUCCACCAAAUGUUUUAGGGUACGACAAGUACGCGCCCAAUGCCCAUGACCACCACACUUAUGGCAGGCUCAUUCAGAAUUUCUGGGAGCAUUGUUUAUGUGAGCUUUGCCUUUGUGGCGAUUCACAUUUUUAAAGCUCGGGCCUGAAUUUUGCCUUGGAACUUGGUUGUAAACUGACCACCAUGGUUCUUGCCUUUCCUGUUCCACCAACCUCGCUUGUGGCCACGUCCUCAUUUAUGAUUAUCACCACCAAAGGAUGUGGCGUUCACUUCGAGGGAAACAUCAUUCACUUCUUGGAAUGGUGCAGAUCCAGUAGGUCGGGACUGAUGAUUUUUCAUCAGGAACUCAUUGUUUUCUUCAACUACCAAAAACACAGAUAUCAGCUGGUUGUAUUUAGUGAAGCCUUGCGCUCUAUACCACUGUUGCAAGAGCACGUUAGAGACAUGAAAUGUGCUGAAAGUCUUUUCCAACAUAUCUUCCUCAACAAUGGUAUUCCCACAGAGCUUCAUCUGAGAGGCAAUUCUGAACAACACAAAAUUAUACUCAGUCACUGACUUGAAAUCCUGGAUCCUUAGGUGAGUCGACUCAUAGUGAGCCCUUGGAAGAAUCACCGUUGUUUGGUGAUUGUAUCUGCUUCUCAAUGCCUUUCAGAGAGCUAACGGAUCUUCAACCGUUACGUACUCGCUCUUUAGUCCCUCAUCAAGACGACGACGAAUAAAGAUCAUGGCCUUUGCCCAAUCUUGAGAGGAUGAGCUAUUUUCUUCCUUAAUGGUAUCUCCAAAAUUCCAUGCUUCCAGAUGGAUCUUGGUAUCCAGUACCCAGGUAAGGUAAUUCUUCCUUGUAAUGUCCAGGGUAGCAAAAUCAAGUUUUGCAAAGUUCGCCAUUUUCUUUUCUGAAAGAAAAAUGAGAUGUGUAAGAACUUGCAAUAAUAUGAAUUUUGAAGGUAUGUUGUGUUAGAACUUCUGGUUUUUACAAGUUUUUCAUUUUGAUCUUCAAGCCAAAAUGAUAAGUACUCGAAACUUCAAGCUCGAGAUUUCCAAGAUGAUUGAGGAGGGUGAUUGUACCACACCAUUCUCAUUGAAAUAAUAUAACAUAGGAUGAGCGAUUAUUCCACACCACUCCAGUAGCAGGAAAAUUUAAAUACGCAUAGCAAGGUGGGCGAUUAUACCACACCACCUAAAAUUGCACUGAAAUUAAAUAGCAGGCAAAUUUAAAUGCAAGGUAGGGUGGGCGAUUAUAUCGCUCCACCUAAAAUUUGCAGUAAAAUUAAAUCUGCAGUCCAAGAUAGGUGAUGAUACCACACCAUCUUAGAUUGCAGUAAGAUUAAAUUUGCAAUUCAAGAUGGGAAAUUGUACCGCACCAUCUUGGAUUGCAGUAAAAUCAACAUAAAUAAAUACUGGGUUAGUAAUCAAGAUCUACACCAAACAAAAAAUCAAAGAUGUAUGUAACUGUUAGGUUAAGAACUAAAGGCAAGCAUGGAGCAAACAGUUCGUCGCGAGGGUAUAUCGUGCAGUUGAGGCAGAGGAAGAAGAUGAACAAUAAAAUCCUUAGAGGAAACUUUUUUUUUUCUUUCUUUCGUUCGGUGAAGAGAAAUGAGAAAUGGUUAGGUUUUAGAGACUCGUGCUGAUAAUGUGUUAUAAAUAUAUAAAAGUUAGAGAGAUAACAUUUACUAAUAACAGGAGAAAAGCUGGUGUAAAAUAUCACACUGAAACUAUAGCACAAGAGAAUGGCAAAUAAAAGAGGGAGGAAUGGAUACUGAAGUUAUUAAUCUUUCAUUUCUUCUCAGUAUAUCACUCUGUCAUUUAAUAGCAGUCGGAGCGCUCUAUUCAUAGAGCGGCUCUAUACAAACAGGUUCUUAUAGCUUGAAAUUUACAACACAUGACUUUAAAAAUAUGAUCACCUUUAUUUCCAAAGUCUACAUUACUUUGUGUGGGUAUUGAAAAACUUACAUGGGCAUUCAUUAAAUUGCCAAUGGUUUCAGCAUUGUCAAUGUUUUCAACUGCUAAUGUUUUCAACAGCUAAUAUUUUCAACAGAGUUAGGUUUUAUGUCAGGGAGAUUUAAUAAUUUUUCUAGAACUGUCUACUUACAAGUUACACUAGAACUAAUAGUCCAACAGAGGCCAAAGUUAUCCAAGAAACAAAGAAGUUUGUGGUGGAAAGAGUAUUAAAGUUGACUCCAAAGUUAUCCAAGAAACAAAGAAGUUUGUGGUGGAAAGAGUAUUAAAGUUGACUCCUCAUCCCAACAAUGUCGCCAAGUGAAGUUGGCAGCACCGUACGUCUAAAGAAGGGCAAGUUUCCAACGUCUGAAAAGAAAUCGAUUUGGUUGGUGGGUCAAGUUGGCGUGAGAACAAGUUUCCAACCUCUGACAAGUCAAGUCAAUAUUAAAUAAAAUUGGAAAUCAAUUAUAAACCAACAAAACACCUUGCAAGGAAAUUCAAAAUCGGAUAUGUGUUCGGAUAACUUCAGUAUGAAUAAAAAAUAGUAUGAAACGAUCAGGUAUCAUCUCAUGACAUACCGUUUACAAAUCGAAAAAACCAAACUGAAACGGAAAAAAAAUGAACCAUAAAAAAACAGAACAAAAUUAGGGAAAUCAAAUCGAAUCGAAUUCUAUUAAUUCGGGUUCAGAUUCGAAAGUUAGUAUAGUGAACUGAACCGAACACCUAAACAUUGAAACAACAUCGUUUUAUGCUUUACACUAACCCUAACUAAUACAUCCAUCGUCUAACAUUGUCUCCAGACUCCAAGUCCAUACCCUACCUCCAGUCUCCAUGUCAUGCCCCAUCUCGAUAUACAUCUAGGAUCAAUGUGAUGCUGGACUCUAGGGGUGCCAAGAUAUACAAAUAAGAAAUACUGGAACUGAAAUUGAAAUUGACAAUAUUUGGUAAGGUGGUGUGGUCUGUCAUAGUACUUACAACAGCUGUACAACAAAGCACAACCCUCACUAGGGUGACACACCCGUAGGCUCUCAAAAGAAAGUCCGAAAAGAAAUAUAAGGAAAAGUACCAAGAGUAACCUAAUCGGUACAAGCUCCUUGAACUCUGAACUUAUAUCCCACUAAUUCCUCGUAUCUAUUGACACUUAUCCAAAUAAUCAUUAACUCGGCUAAAUAGUCAAACUGGUCCCUGAAAUUUGCAUAACUCAUCACUUUGGUCCCUAAAAUUUCAAAUCAAUAAAAGUGGUCCCUGAGAUUAUCCACCACCUAUCAUUUUGGUCAUUCCGUUAAAAACUCCGUUAAGUGUCCCGGAGCUCUUGGUCGAAAGUUUGGGCAAUUUUCAAAGCUUUGUAACUCAAUCGUUUCUUCACCAAAUUCGACCCAUAAUAUAUCAAAAUGAAGAUAGGAAAGUGUAGAAUAAGAUUAUACCUAUUUGGAAGUCCAAAGGUUGAUGGAGAUGGUCGGAAAAUAGCCUUAAGUUGACUGGUUCGAGGGAAAACUUGAAAACUCACUAGAAACUGUGUAAAGUUUAAACGUUCGUAACUUCUUCAAUAAUAAACGAAUCAGGUAAUUCAAAAACGAAAAUUAUACUUCUCGACAAGACGAAGAGAAUGGUACCUUUUUCAAUGGCUAACUCGCUGUGGGUUGGCCGGAAAAUGGCUCGAAAGUGGUCGUCUUGGUCUCGAGUUAGCCACUUUUGAGCCUUUGUCCGGCCAAACCACGACGAUUUAGCCGUCGAGAAAGGUACCAUUCUCUUUGUCUCAUCGAGAAGUAUGAUUUCGUUUUUGAAUCACUUGAUUUCGUUGAGUAUUGAAGAAGUUAUGAACGUUUAAAGUUUACCAGUUUCUGGUGAGUUUUCCAGUUUUUCCUCGGACCAUUCAACUUUGAGGCUAUUUGCCGGCCAUCUCCGGCAGCCAUUGGUCUUCCAAAUAGGUAUAAUCUUAUUCUACACUUUCCUAUCUUCAUUUUGAUAUAUUAUGGGUCAAAUUUGGUUAAGAAACGAUUGAGUUACAAAACUUUGAAAAUUGCCCAAACUUCCAGCCAAGAGCUUAGGGACACUUAACAGAGUUUUUAACAGAAUGACCAAAAUGAUGGAUGGUGGACAAUCUCAGGGACCAUUUUUAUUGAUUUGAAAUGUGAGAGACCAAAAUGAUGAGUUAUGCAAAUCUUAAGGAUCAUUUUGUCUAUUUAGCCUUCCAUCAUAUUACCGAGAUUUGUAUGUCGUACUUGUUCGUGAUAAAUUUUCUUUGCUUGCCUAAACUUUGAAAACUUUAUACGGUUUCCGAGUAUUUUAUAAUUUGAAAAUUUUAAUCAGUGUAUAAAAUAUCCGAAAGUACAAUAGAAAUUCCGCCUAAAUGCUCAUUUAUCACUCACUGUUGGAAAUUCUUGUGCUAUCCAAUAGCCAAGGAUUUUGUCCAUCCUAGCAAUUGACAGGUUUGAAACCCUAAGUCCCAAGCUACCCUUUCUCCCUUUAGGUUUUGCUGAGCAUGCCCUGUUUGGCUAUUUCAUUUCAUUUCCGUUACAUUUAAUUCAGUGUAGGCGGACCCAUGUACAAGGAAUGUUAUAGGAUUAAGAACAGGCAAAACAAUCACAACUUAUAUUACUUUCAUUUUAAAUUACAUUCAAGUUUUUUUAUAUAAAACGUUCACACUUACUAAUUACACGAGUAUUUAAUUGAAGACAAUAUUAAUGUAAUGAUAAACAGCAAUCCUUCCCUCUGAAACUCAAACAAACCGUACGAAUCGUUUCACGUAUGUCGUCAUUUGGUUCUUUACCAAAUAGAAUUCGGAUUCUCUUUGUGAGGAUUCUAGGGAUCCAUAAAUCGUGUCUAUUCAUCAUACAUUAUGCGGUCAUAAAUCAUUUUAAAUAUUUUUAUUUAAAAUUAAACACAAACAGUACCUAACAAAACUGACCGCACAAUGUACGAUAAACAGACACGAUUCACAGAUCUCCAUGAUCCUCACCAAAAGAAUCCAGAGAGGAUCCCGUUGGCACCAAAUAUGUGGCUCUACAUAGGAAACUACUUCUCCAGCAAAUUUGAGUUGGGAAUUCCAAAAAAAAAAAAAAAAAAAAAAAAUUUGAGUUGGGAAUACUUUUCAACUUUAAUACAAUGACUUUUGACUUUUGAGCAAAUUAUUAAUUCUCUGAUCGAGACUUUUGACUUCUGAAUCAAUUAUUAGUUCUCCGAUCGUGUGUACAUAUGAAAGUAAGACGAGAGAUGCAAACCAUCAAGGAAAUUGAGCGUUAAUGAUAGAGAAGAUGGAGAACAUAACAGAGAAGCUUUGCUUAGCAAAAGCUAGUACCUCAACCCCAUCCUCGCCCCCCAUUCACAACCAAACUCAAAGUCCAAAACGUUUUGUGUUGAUACAUGGAGCUUGUCAUGGAGCAUGGAGCUGGUAUAAGGUGGCAACUCUCCUCAAGGACUCAGGUCAUCAUGUCACAGCUCUAGACUUGGGAGCAUCCGGGAUCAACCCGAUUCAGGUACAGCAACUGCCUUCGUUAUCGGAAUACGUCGAGCCUUUGACAAAGCUCAUGGUGUCUCUACCACCUGAAAAGGUUAUCCUUGUGGCUCACAGCUUUGGUGGAGCCGUCAUAUCUAUUUUCAUGGAGAGGUUUCCGCAUAAAAUUGCUGCUGCGGUAUAUGUUACGGCUGUCAUGUCUGGUCCUACUCUCAAUUUCUCAACUAUACAAUCAGAGGUAAUGAAUUUCAUACACAAAGAUUGAGUUGCACUAUAUGUCUUCUUUAUAGUGCUCUACUGUCAUUUGAAAUUGAUCAUAUGUUGUACCUUGUUCAUCGUAUCUUGUGAAUCAAAAAAAUAAGUAUGGCAUAACUAUAUCUCUCCGUUGAGGGUUCCCUCAAAUAAACUUAUUUGAGACACUUUGUAUUGCCAAUUUUAUAACUUUUACAAUGAUCCGAAUCGUCUUAUUUUAAUUCAUUCAUAAAUCAUCUUUAUAAAAAAAAUUCACUCCAAAACUAUUAAGUAUAAAUCAAAUUAGAGUGAAAAAAAUAGACAAAUACGAUUCUUCAAAAAAACAAUAAAAUGACUACUAUUUAAUUCUACAUUUAUAUAUAUCGAGAAUUAGGCCUACAAGAGAUCCCUUCAAUAAACUUGUUUGAGAGAUCUCUAAAUUAAAUGGGACUAUGUAUGUGUGCACAUGUCUGAUCUCUUGUUCAUUGUUGUGUGAAUCCUACUGAAUGAGAUAUACAAGGGGUAACUAACAAAUAAUUUUCUGAAUAAUGCAUAGAUUAAGAAAAGAUUCCAUUAUAUGGAUUCUCAAUUCAGAUAUGAUAACGGAACCAAUAACCCAGCAACAUCUUUUCUCUUUGGGCCCAAGGACUUGGCAACAAGCUUGUACCAGCUCUCACCACCACAGGUAAGUCUUAAACUUAAAGUGUGUCUAUUGCAAUAGAUAGGAACCCUAUUCGUGCUCUCUUAACACGCACUGGAAAGAUAAUAAUUACUUAGCUAAAUAUGCUUUUUUUUCUUCUUUUUGGUUGGUGAUUUAUAUAAUGUGCAGGAUUUAACCCUAGCGUUAUCGUUGGUGAGAUUUUUUCCUCGCUACAAUUAUGAUGUUAUAAAGCUCACAAAAGAGAAAUAUGGAUCAGUUCCUAGAGUAUUCAUCGUGUCCGGCGAAGACCAUGCUAUAGUAAUGGAUGUGCAAAAUUACAUGAUAAAAAGCAAUCCGCCAAAUGAAGUGAAAGUGAUAAACGGUUCUGAUCACAUGGUCAUGGUCUCUAAACCCGUAGAGUUGUUCUUCCAUCUCCAAAACACUGCUGAGAAAUAUUCAUAAACACAGUUACACAGACAUGUUUAGAUUAGGCAAACAAGUAUUAUACUAUUAUCCAAAUAAGUGAGAUUGUUUUAUAAGGGAUAAGUACUAAGAAUUAUAUGUGUCCAUGAACUUUAGCUAAAGAGGUAUAAAGUACUCAACAAUCUCAGAAUUCUCAAAUACAAUUUUAAUAUAUUUUUUUGUUCACCGUAAGGAGGUAUUUAUAUAAUACAAUUAAGGAGUAUUAGAAAAUAAAUCAAAAUAAUCAUUAGCUCACAAGGACAAGGAAACCUAAAUUUAAAGUAAUAACAUAAAAUCUCUAUUUAUUGUACCCCCAAAAAAAAUUUGGUCGAAAUUUUUUGUGGUCAGUGUGGUGAUAUGGUAAUUUUAUGUGAUAUGCCUAUUGGUCAAGAUGUGUAACUCAAGAAAAAAAGGUAUUGGUUCACAAUAAAGAGAUGCAUCUUUUUAAUAUGUGAACCGAAUACAACAAAUGUACCAAGAAAUAUAACUCUAAAAUAAAGGAUUACACCUUUGACAAGGGUUACAACAAUUUAACAAGACUUAUACCUAUUGACUUGAGUGAUUCCCUUCGGUUGUCUAUAAAUAAGAUUGCAAUCAAACCAUUUCAUUCUAUUUCCAAUUCACUUGCCUAAGAGAGAGUCAAAAUAUAAAUCCUCUUGUGUGAUGCCCAGUCUAACAACAUCCAUCACUGGCGAUGAUACUUCCUUUAUUAGUAAGGGUUAGGUUUUAUGUCGGCGAGAUUUAACAAUUUUUCUAGAAGCGUCUACGUACAAGCUACACCAGAACUAAUAGUCCAACAGAGGCCAAACAAAGAAGUCUGUUGGAAAGAACAUUCAGUUGACUCCUCAUCCUAACAAUGUCACCAAGUCAAGUUGGUAGCACCGUUUCAAGAAGGAAAUCGAUUUGGUUGGUGGGUCAAGUUGGCGUAAGGACAAGUUUCCAACUUCUGAAAAGUCGAGUCAAUAUUAAAUAUAAUUGGAAAUCACUUAUAAACCAACAAAUUGCCUUGCAAGGAAAUUCAAAACCGGAAUGAGUUUGGAUAACUUCAGUGUGAAUAAAAAUAAGAGUAAAUUGUAGCUAUGGUCUCUUAACUUUAACUCAAUUGGAGCAAUGGUCCCUCAACUAAAAAUCCAUUACCUUUGGUCCCUCAACUUAUCAAAACGUGUAGCUAUGGUCCCUCAACUAAAAAUUCAUUACCAUUGGUCCCUGAACUUUAAUUCAAGUGGAGAAAUGGUCCUUUAACUUUAAUCCAAUUGUAGCAAUGGUCCUUACAAUAUAACUCGUUUUGACAAAUUUUUUGACAUAGUUGACGAAAAGAACCAUAAUUAUACACUUUGAUGAGUUGAGGGACCCUAAUUAUAUAAAUGGUCAUUCCAACAUAGCUUAUUUUGACAAAAUUUUGACAGAAUUGAUAAAAAGGACUAUAGCUACACAUUUUGAUAAGUUGAGGGACCAAUGGUAAUGGAUUUUUAGUUGAGGGACCAUUGCUCCAAUUUGAUUAAAGUUGAGGGACCAUUUGUACAAUUUACUCUAAAAAUAAAUGUUAAAUAUUCCAAUGGUAUGAAAUGAUAAGGUAUUAUCUCAUGGCAUAUACCGUUUACAAAUCGAUUUAUAAGGAGUAUACCAUGAGAUGUAGGGUAGAUUCGAAAAAUAAAAAAUAAAUCGAACCGAACCAAAGUAGAAAAAACUGAACCGAGAAAAAUCAAACAAAAUUAGAGAAAUCAGAUUGAACCGAACUCUAUUAAUUUGGUUCCGUGUUCAAAGCUUAGGACAACGAACCGAACUGAAUAUCUAAAUCUUAAAACAACAUCGUUUUAUAUUUUACACUAACCCAAACUAAUACAACCCUCGUCCCAUCUUGCCUCCAGAGUCCAAACUCAUACCCUACCUCCAGUCCUUAGACUCCAAAGUUCAAACUUGAUACCUCAACCUUAUCGAUCACCCUCCAAACAAGAAUCUUCUCCUCUCGACGUCGAACAUCCGACACCUCGCUCACCUUGCUCGUCGUCGCGCUCACCCCCUGGCUUGAUUGGCCUUGAUACACCUCCAUCCUCUCACGUGGUCCACGAGCACCUCCUUCACUGUGACCUCUCUAACCUGCCAAACUUUGUCUCUAACUUGACUAGGCUCACCAUCUUGACCUCACCAUCAAGGUAAGCGCUUCUAACACACCCUAACCCUCAUGUCUAGUGAAAACCAAAAUUGAGGCGUGUUGGCCAUCACCUGGAUAGGUGAUGAAGUCAUAACUAAAGUUUUCAACUAUUAAAAUCUAUCAAAAUUUUGGUAGAGCUUCCCUUAAAAUAGGGAUGAGCCCAAUUAAAAUACCUGCAAACAACCACCUUUAUUCCAACAAAUCCUCGAAGGGCCACACCUAAUGGGUCUUAGACCCUUUAUUACAUGCAAGACAAUGGGUUCAGAGCAUAAUUACCUAAAUACAAGUCUUAUGAAUAAGUUGAGUAAAUACCAUACUUCGUAGGAAUAUGUCAGAGCUGCUGGAAUGUACCUCAACGUCUGAUGUGAUCACUGUUACGACUGCUAAAUCUGGUACUCAGUGAAGUCUUCCUCUAGCUGGGCAUGUUCUCUAGAGCCUCUGGAACUACUCACAUCUACCUCGAAUGAGAAAACCUCUUCGAAAUUUUGCGAGCAUUGUUGAAGUCGAGGGUCUGAGGCUCGACUUCAUGUUUUCAGGCAAGAAUGAGGUCUUUGAACUUGUGGUGAGCUGGAGAUGAAGAUGGUAGUUUUUAAAGGGUUAAAACUCGUUGGACUGUGAUGGUUAUGUGUGGCUCUGGGGAGGAAAAAAACAUGUGAAGGAAAGAAGAAAGGGAGAGAGAGUUUUGGAAAAUGGGAGAGGGAUGUGAGUCCCAUUGGAACCCAAACAAACCAAAAGGAUUCUCCAUAAAUGGGGUGAAUUUACGAAAAUGCCCUUUCAUUCAUUGUCCUGUAAAAACUGUUUAAAGUCUGAUUCUUUGAUUCUCAUUCCGCUUGUACCUACACGUUCGUAACAAUGAUUACUAUGAAAAUACACUAAAACAAUAGUUUAUAUGUGUCACAAAUACCAGUCAACGAAAGUCAACACGUACCGUUCUAGGGGCAUUUUGGUAAUUUUACAUCUUCAAGAUUAAAAUAGUGUAAAAUCAGGGACGGAUCGUAACACCUCCCAACUUGGUCCUCGAUGUCAUCUUUUUCUAUAGAUUUAUCACCUGAUCUCCGACUUGAUUUGGCUCUUCAGUUUAUUUCAUACAGUCGCAUGAUUGUUAAUUAUGAACGACAAUUAUAAUGGUAUUUAAGUAUUGGGUCUCCUGAAUUAGGGUUUCUUCCUUAUAAAGGAGGAAAUUUCACAUGUUGAGCUAUUUGUUUGUAAAUUAAAGUGUGAUAUAGCUUCUUUCUCGGCUGAACUCUAAGUGACAUUAACUGUGUGUUUAUUAGUUGAAAUCCCUAGUUAGGCUAGAAAUAACAUAGGUGUUGAGGAUAUGGAUUAAUGUGUCAAUUUGCUUUUAUUCCUUCUCGACAAAUUGCAUUGAAGGUAGACAGCCGUAGUGUGCAUCAACCCCCAGCAUCUUACCCUUCAGUUCUGUUUGUACCAUACUUGAUCAAUCCCAAAACUACUGAGCACCAGUCAACGUUAUACCGUCAAGGAUCCAGAAGAGUUUCCCUCUAACCAGGAGGCCGAUUACAGAGCGACACGUGUUAACAUUAAAAGCCAAUCAUAGUGCGACACAUGUCAACAUCAGAAGCCAAUCACAACACGACACGUGUCAAUGUCAGAAUGAAACUAGAAAUUCUCUUCUAUAAAUAGAGAUCAUUCUCUCACAAUAUUUCCUAAUGUCAUUUGUACUAAAUCAUUCACUAGUACUCACUAAAGGAAAACUUGAACCUAUGUACUUGUGUAAACCUUUCACAAUUAAUGAGAACUCCUCUACUCCGUGGAUGUAGCCAAUCUGGGUGAACCACGUACAUCUUAUGUUUGCUUUCCUGUCCCUAUCCAUUUACAUACUUAUCCACACUACUGACCGAAGCAAUCUAGCGAAGGUCACAAACUUAACAUUUUCUGUUGUACUAAAGUCCUUAAUGAUUUUGUGCAUCAACAUUUGGCGCCGUCUGUGGGAACGACACUUAUUCCCACUCUUUUCAGCUUUGUCAAGCUGGUUUCCACCAUUCGUACACUCUCUUUUGACCAGGCAUCUCUUUCCAACAUGGGGAGCGAAGGAAGCCACAACACACAAAAUGACACCCCUCUUACACCUAGUGCGAAGCAACGAAAGAAAGAAGGAAAGAGGGUUGCUCUUCGAGCUAAAGUCGAUGAGCUAGAAGCUCAUAACAACAAGAUAGCAAUGAAGAAUGAGGUCUUCCAAGAGCAGUAUGAGAAGCUUUUUGAAACGCUUCACGAAACUAGGCGUACUCAAACACGCGAGCUCGUUGCCCCUGUGGACAUCAACCAUCAUCUGGGUGCCCCACAACACGAAGGGUCACCUUAAUUUGACUUGGGUAUCCCUGAUGAAGAGCGAGCUAAUCAUCAAAAUAUUGAUCAACAUGAGACUUCUCCCAACCGAGCUGCUUCGACCCGAAGCAGGAGAAGUGGAAGAAGACACCUCAUUGCAGAAGGGUUGGAAGGAUCGAAAGUCGUUUAUCGUGACUGCUAAGACUUCCUAAAGCAACGUCGAGAAAAUCCUCUUCACAUAUGCUCGAAGAUCAAUGACUCAAGGGUUUCUGGAAGACUCGGUCCCUUUCCACGACCCAGGCCAGCUGCCAAUCUAGGGAAUGAAUGACAGGUCCUAUAGGAACAUAAAGGUACAAGAGACUCUGAGAUAUUCCAACAGAUUUGCCCUAGAAGUCAGUACAGUGAGUCCAAGGAAAAAUCACACGCCUUUGCUCAAACUUUCCUACUUCCAAGAGGCGAUGGAGACUUACGAAAGAAAAUCCCAGUGGUACAUGACUCCACUCAGGACCCCCUUGUCUUACAGCUCAUUGAGGAAGUAAACAAGUUGAAGGCCGAACGUUAGGCCGAGAUACCUGACUGGAACCAACCCAGGCCUAGCUCUCUCCCAAAGAGGAUUCUCGACACCCCUUUCAAGUGAAGACAAAACAAAAGCUUGGUUUACAACUCUAUACUGGAAGGGAGGACCCAAUUGAACACCUUAACCUAUUUGAGUCCACCAUGGCAUAUCGGAUGCACACCGAUGAUGAACGAUAUCUUCUCUUUCCCUCCACCCUCUCUGGCGGAGCUCUAAACUGGUAUUGUCGUCUUCCACCUAAGACAUUAGACUCAUUUGAGGAAUUAAGGAAACUGUUUGUUUCUCAACAUAUUUUCCAGACCGAUCGCUUUCACUUUGCGGAUGCCUUAUACAAUAUUCGCCCGAAGCCAGACGAGUCAUUACGUAUGUAUGCUGGUCGCUUCAGCCAUGAGUAUUCUCGUUGUGCUGAGGCAGACGACAAGAUUACCUUCAAAGCCUUCAUGGUAGGCCUAUGUGACUGUUUCUUUAAGUAUAUGAUCAAUGCCAACACUUGGAAGACUUACUCUGAGGUGAUGGCCCAGGCUUAUAACCAUGCCUAUGCCGAGGCAAUGACAUACCAUGGCCCAGGCCACAUGUUUAUCCAUUUACCCCAGCAUAGCACACCUGAUACCGAAGCCAAUGCCGAGGCAGUCAGGUUACAAGCCCACCAAGAACACGAGCACGUUUUGCUAUUACCACGAGCAUAACGGCCAUGAUAGCGAGAAGUGUAUCACCCUUCGUAAUCGUAUUGAAGCUUUAGCGUGUGAAGGAAAAAUUGAUCGAUUCCUCCUUCACCUUUCAAGGGAUAACCGUAACCAACGCCAAGUGAAUGUGAUAUAUUCCAUAAGCGGCGGCACACUUAUAUCUGAAUCUUCCAACAGAGCCAUGAAAAAUAGCGAACGAGCUUUAAGGCCUGGUCACCAAGUGUUUCACGUGGAAAACAUCAGGGGAGGCAAGUGUCAAAAGCCUAACUGGGAUCCAAUAUGUUUCUACCCUAAGGAAGAAAAAGGUAUCAUCUACCCUCAUAAUGACCCAUUAAUCGUGAAAGCUCACAUAGCCAACUUUGAGGUACAACGAAUCCUGGUAGACACGGGGCUUCGAUCAAUAUCAUGUUUGCUGAAGCUUUUAAGGCAUUUAAUGUAGCUGAACACUUGCUCGAUUGCUCGAUUUCUCAUCUGAUAAGCUUCUCCGGUGAUAUCGUGCAACCUUUAGGAAGCAUACACUUACCUUUUACCAUUGGUACAGGCCCUUACACAGCUACCAUUACCACUAACUUCCUGGUGGUUGAUUGCCCAACGACAUACAAUGUUAUCUUUGGACGCACAUGCAUCAAUGAUCUCAAGGCCAUGGUAUCCACGUAUAUGUUGUUGAUGAAAUUUCCAACCCUCUGUGGCAAUGGUUACAUCAUAGAAGAUCAACUUAGUGCAUGAUCAUGUUACAACAAUUCGGUCAAGCAACAGUUUGCAUGUGCCUAAGGAAACCCUUUCUAUACAUGACCAAGUCAUAAAGACCAGUCCAGACAAAGCCAACUUGGAUCUUCACGGUGGCAACAGUUAACCCAACGAUCCUCGAGAUGACUCUUUCACCCAGCAAGCACAACUCGCUGAAGAGUUGGAUAAAGUCUUUGUCUCAAAAGAUUAUUCGGAUAGCAUGAUGAAGAUUGGCACCACCUUGUCACCAUCUAUUCGGUUGGCAUUGAUCUCUUUUUUGCAAGAGAACACUGAGGUCUUUGCCUGGUCAUACGAGGACAUGCCAGGCAUCUCUCCCAAUAUCAUCUGUCAUUGCUUAAGUAUUGACCCCAAGACCAAGCCAAUGAGACAGAAGCGAAGAUCUUAUGACGCUAAACGGUACGAGGCAAUGAAGGCAGAAGUUGAAAAACUCAAAGGCAUAGGCUUCGUUCGUGAAGUCAAUUAUCCAACGUAGGUAGCAAAUGUUGUCCUCGUUAAGAAGAAUCCGACCAAGGAAAGUUUCCUGCUCCAAAAGGUCUUGUGGAGAAUGUGUGUCGAUUACACCGACCUAAACAAAGGAUGCCCGAAGGAUAGCUUUCCUCUUCCUCUCAUAGACAAACUUAUAGACUCUACGGCAGGGUGUGAACUUCUUAGCUUCAUGGAUGCUUACUCAAGAUACAACCAAAUCCUCAUGAACCCUCCGGACCAAGAACAUACAACCUUCAUUACUAAUAGGGGACUAUAUUGCUAUAAAGUCAUGCCCUUUGGCCUAAAGAAUGCAGGAGCAACUUAUCAGAGAUUGGUCAAUUCAAUGUUUGUCGAACAGAUUGGGAAGAGCAUGGAAGUUUACGUUGAUGAUAUGCUAGUCAAGAGCAAACAUGCUGACCAACACAUCACCAACCUAUCUAAAACUUUCACCAUUCUGAAGAGGUAUCGAAUGAGGUUAAACCCCAACAAAUGUGCCUUCGGCGUAGGCUCUGAAAAAUUCUUAGGCUUCAUGAUAAGCCAACGAGGCAUUGAGGCUAAUCCCAAGAAGAUCAAAGAAAUCCUCGACAUGAAGGAACUGGUAACUUCAAAAGACAUCCACAGCCUUACUGGCAAGGUAGCAGCCAUCUCUAAGGCCACAGACAGAUGUGCUCAUUUCUUCAAAGCACUUAAGGGAAGUAAGAAGUACAUUACAUGGACUGAUGAAUGUGCUGAGGCAUUCAAGAACCUCAAAGACUACAUGAGUGAAGCCCCUCUGCUCUCCAAACUUGAGGUUGGUGACACUCUCAUUAUUUAUCUGUCGAUAUCGGCUUUAGCAGUAAGUUCCGUUCUCAUUCGAAAUGAUGGUAAUGUCGAACGGCCUGUCUACUACGCUAGCAAGGCCUUACAAGAUGCAAAUACACGAUACUCCAACAUUGAGAAAUUGGCUUUAGCAUUGGUCAUGUCUGCUCGAAAACUUCGCCCUUACUUCCAAACACACUCCACCAUCGUGCUUACCAAUCAUCCUCCUCGACAGAUACUCCAUAGUCCUGACAUUUCCGGGUGAAUGAUCAAAUUGGCGAUAACAUUGGGUGAGUUUGACAUCUCCUACCAACCAAAGCCAGCUGAGAAGGGCCAAGCAGUGGCAGACUUCAUCGUCGACUUCACAUAUCCUGUUGACAUUGUUUCUACGCUUAAAGAAGUGGUUUCAUUACCCUCGGAAUCUCAGAAAAUAGAACCAACAGCCCUAGCAUGGAGUCUAUAUGUUGAUGGCUCGUCCAACCAACAGGGUUGUGGAGCAGGACUAGUCCUUACGACACCUGACAAAGUGGUGAUGGAGUAUGCUCUUCGUUUCAAAUUCAAGGCGUCGAACAAUAAGGCCGAAUAUGAAGCUCUCUUAGCAGGCUUACGUUUGGCCAAACACCUUGGGGUUAAACGAACUGAUAUCUUCAGUGACUCCCAAUUGGUGGUUAACCAGGUCACGAACAACUUUGACGCUAAUGAUAACUCCAUGGCAACAUAUCUGGCACAAACACAAUUGUUGCUCAAGCACUUCCACUACCAGAUCACCCAAAUUCCUCGAGCGGCAAACAGUCAUGUAGAUGCUUUGGCUCACCUCGCCUCAGUGGUGGAAGACAAGAUUGGGAGAAAAAUUCAAGUCGAAAUGUUAGCAGCACCAAGUACCAUGGCUGCGGAAGUGUGCAACUUACAACAGGGGGAUAGUUGGAUUACCCCGAUUUAUAGAUUCCUUGCUCAUGGCACCCUUCCAAAUGACAAAGUCCAAGCUAAGCAAAUUCGAUACAAGGUUACCCGUCACUUGAUCGUUAAUAACCAACUCUACAAGCGGGGUUUUAACCUACCAUACCUAAGAUGCCUUACACCCGGUGAGCGGAAACUGUCAUUUGGGAAAUACAUGAAGGAGUCUGCGAAGAUCAUGUUGGAUCUCGAUCCCUAGCACACAAGGCUUUUCGCCAAGGAUAUUACUGGCCAACACCCCACCAAGAUGCCAUUAGAAUAUCCCGCUCUUGUGAUAAGUGUCAACGUUACGCAAUUAUUCCUCACUACCCUCCCGAGCCGCUCACUUCUAUGAUCAGUCCUUGGCCCUUCGCCCAAUAGGGACUUGAUUUGAUCGGCCAAAUGCCUGCAGGGAAGGGCAAGGUUUGCUAUGCAAUCGUUGCAGUUGAUUACUUCACAAAAUGGGCCGAAGUAGAACCCUUGGCAACCAUUACUGAGGCAAAAAUAGAAGACUUCGUAUGGAAGAACAUCCUUUGCAGAUUCGUCAUUCCCAAUGCGAUAGUCACUGACAACGAGCGACAAUUCGACAACAAUAAGUUCAAGAUGUUAUGCUCUAAGUUUAACAUCAAUUUAUGUUUUGCCUCCCCAGCUCAUCCUCAGUCUAAUGGACAAGUUGAAGACAUCAACAAAAUAAUCAAGUUAACUUUGAAAACCAGCUUGGACAAGGCUAAAGGUUGUUGGCCAGAAUUUGUACCCCAAGUUCUUUGGUCAUACCGCACUCGUAUCGGACAUCAAGAGGAGAAACCCCAUUCUCACUUGCCUUUGGUACAGAGACAGUUGUCCCAGUUAAGCUUGAACAAGUAAUGUUCCGAGUUCAGAAUUACGUGCAAAGCGAAAAUGACAAACAACUUACCCUCAACUUAGAUCUAGUCAAGGAACACAAAAACCAGGCUUACUUGAGGAAUGUCGCCUACAAGCAGCGCAUCUCCAACUACUAUGACUCAACAGUCAAACCAAAUUCUUUCAAAGUGGGGGACUGGGUAUUGAAGAAAAUAUUACUCUGCGACAGAGUCCCUAGUGAAGGAACACUUAGUCCAAACUGGGAUGGACCGUUUGAAGUUGUUGGCAUCAGUCGCCCUGGCUCCUACAAGCUUAGAAGCUCCGAUGGCAAGACCCUUGGCCAUCCAUAGAACGCUGAUCACUUGAAGUACUAUUACAAGUAAACUCACAUUGUACAAGUGUUAAGCUUCAGCCGUUCGGCAUCCUAUGUAACGAAGACUAUUUGGCAUGAAUUCAAUAAAGAGGUGAUUUAGACAACUCGGUCUUAAUCCUCUUACAUUCCUAGCAAUGAAACACUCGGGUUCAAAGCUUCAACAUGAAUGCUUCCAACAUGAAACAAAGUCUAAGUAUAUGUCAACAAGACUAUACAAAUAAACGAACAGCUUCACAGUAUAUUCGUUCAAUCAUACAUUCCAACACAUUCAUACAUAAGCCAACUGUGCUUUGAAAGGGUUCAACAUACUUUGUGUCAUUCGACACUUGCUACAAUGUGCCUAGACACCUUGCCCUUAUUCUCACCAACCAGGUGAUGAAAUGUAAAGAAGGAACUCAUUUUCAUGCCACCAACCAGGUGAUGAAAUGUACAACCCGUACUCUCCUUCAUGCCACCAACCAGGUGAAGAAGGAACUCAUCUUCAUGCCACCAACCAGGUGAUGAAAUGUACAACCCGUACUCUCCUUUAUGCCACCAACCAGGUGAUGAAAUGUACAACCCGUACUCUAAUAUCAUUUGGCAACUUGCCAUUCAUGCCACCAACCAGGUGAUGAAAUGUACAACCCGUACUCUCAUUCAUGCCACCAACCAGGUGAUGAAAUGUACAACCCGUACUCUAAUAUCAUUUGGCAACUUGCCACUCAUGCCACCAACCAGGUGAAGAAGGAACUCAUCUUCAUGCUACCAACCAGGUGAUGAAAUGUACAACCUGUAAUCUUUUUCAUGCCACCAACUAGGUGAUGAAAUGUACAACCCGUACUUUAAUAUCAUUUAGCAAUUUGACAUUCAUGCCACUAACCAGGUGAAGAAGAAACUCAUCCUCGUGCAACCAACCAGGUGAUGAAAUGUGAUGAAAGGUGAUGAAGGAACUCACCUUCGUACCACCAACUAAGUGAUGAAAGCAACUCACCAUUCAUUCCACCUACCAGAAGACGAGUGGUACAACUUGUACAUGUGAACUCCUAGCAUUCACAAAUAAUAAAAAACCUUCAAGCUUGACAACUUAACUAGGGGAGCACUUAUGCCCAACAAGAGUUAUAGUCACCAACAAAGUCUUAUUGCAAGCCAACAACAACUUCAGUGCAUGGCAUACGAAGAUCAAGCUAUUCAGCCCUUUUGCAUCUGCUUCAGACAUUUCCCCUCUGUAACAAUGCAAACACUACAACUCGUAGAAAGCUUCACACACUUUUGAUCAAGACAGUGUGAAGCAAAACCAAUUUAUGGUGCCAACAAGAGCUUCAUCAAAGAAGUUCAACCACAAUUCUCAAAAGCUUCACACACUCUUGAUCAAGACAGUGUGAAGCAAAACCAAUUUAUGGUGCCAACAAGAGCUUCAUCAAUGGAGGGCAACCACAAUUCUCAAAAGCUUCACACACUCUUGAUCAAGACAGUGUGAAGCAAAACCAAUUUAUGGUGCCAACAAGAGCUUCAUCAAAGGAGGGCAACCACAAUUCUCAAAAGCUUCACACACUCUUGAUCAAGACAGUGUUAAGCAAAACCAAUGUAUGGUGCCAACAAGAGCUUCAUCAAUAAAGGGCAACCAUAAUUCUCAAAAGCUUCACACACUCUUGAUCAAGAUAGUGUAAAGCAAAACCAAUUUAUGGUGCCAACAAAAGCUUCAUCAAAUGAGUUCAACCACAAUUCUUAAAAGCUUCACACACUCUUGAUCAAGACAGUGUGAAGCAAAACCAAUUUAUGGUGCCAACAAAAGCUUCAUCAAUGAAGGGCAAUUACAACUUGUAGAAAGCUUCACACACUCUUAAUCAUGACCGUUCGAAGCAAAUUCAAUUUAUAUGGUUCAUCCAAACCUUCAACUACUACAAGGUGUGGCUUGCAUCACAAUCUCUUGCUCAACAGUGUGGAAGCAAAAUUUGUAUAUGUUGUCGCUCCCACAUUUUCAAAUUUCUACUUUUCCCAAAAAAAAGAAAAAGGAAAUUGGGAAAUUCUACGAAGCUUUACCACAAAAGCUUCAUCAAUGGAGGACAACUACAAAUUCUCAAAAGCUUCUUACUAUCUUGAUCAAGAUAGUGUGAAGCAAAAUCAAUGCAUGGUACCUAACAAAGCUUCACCAACAAAAGCUUCAUCAAUGGAGGACAACUACAAAUUCUCAAAAGCUUCACACUAUUUUGAUCAAGAUAGUGUGAAGCAAAAUCAAUUCAUAGUACCCAACAAAAUCUUCAACUCCAAAGCUUCACCUACAAAGCUUCAACUCCAAAACUUUAUCUACAAAAGCUUCACCCACAAUAGCUUCACCCACAAAAGCUUCACCCACAAAAGCUUCACCCAUAAAAGGUUCACCCACAAAAGCUUCACCCAUAAAAGCUUGACCCACAAAAGCUUGACCCAUAAAAGCUUCACCCACAACAAAAGCUUCACCCACAAAAACUUCACCCACCACAAAAGCUUCACCCACAAUAGCUUCACCUACAAAAGCUUCGCUUAUAAAAGCUUCACCUACAAAAGCUUCACCUAUAAAAGCUUCACCAACAAAAGCUUCACCCACAAUAGCUUCACCCACAAUAGCUUCACCCACAAAAGCUUCACCCAUAAAAGCUUCACCAACAAAAGCUUCACUCACCACAAAAGAUUCACCCACAAAAGCUUCCCCCACCAUAAAAGUUUCACCCAAAAAAGCUUCCCCCACCACAAAAGCUUCACCCACCAUACAAAAGCUUCACUUACAAAACUUCAACACAAAAACUCCACCUAUAAAAGUUUCACACUAUCUUGAUCAAGAUAGUGUGAAGCAAAAUCAAUUCAUGGUACCCAACAAAGCCUCAACCUCAAAGCUUCACCUACAAAACUUCACCUAUAAAGCUUAAAAUAUAUAUAUAUAUAUAUAUAUUCAGAAAUUUGAAAAUUCAAAAAUUCAAAAAUAAAAAAAAAAUCGAAAAUUAAAAAAAAAUGCCUAGGCCUCAUCUUCUUUGGGCUUAACAACUUUCAUAACAAAUAUAUAUGAAGGAAGAGUUUUGAGCUACCACUUAGAAAGAAAAAUGAUGAAGUUUUGUUACUUUAGAAACUUGGCUACUAGCAAGACACCUCUUUCGUCAACUCUCUCGACUGGAGACUUGAGGGACUCCUAUCAUAUGCUACUGCACCUUGAUACUCGGAAGUCUCACGACUACUUAGUAACUUGGAUUUUUUCAACUCUCCAACCGAGAAGUUUUCCUCACUCGGGAAAUUAAGGGAGCACUACCUCAACUUACAUGCUUCACUCACAAAGCUUCAACCAAAGGAAACAUUCAAAGAACUUAGUGAAGAAGGCCUUGGUGUAUUAAACACAAUAUGUUGAAAUGAAGCAAAACUUGUUUAUUGAUAUCUUCGAUAAGUUACAAAUAUGUACAUAUACAUGAAUCAAAAUAAACAAACAAGAGGGAGCCUUCACAAAGGUUGCUCAUGAGAAGUCUCAACAGUCGGCAGAGCCCCAGAAAGAGUAGGCACCAGAGGGUGAUCAUUCGGAGCCUCAGUACUAGGCAGAACCCCAGAAGGAUGAGGCACCGAAGGUUGAUCAUUUGGAGCUUCAUUACGCGGUACUGCCCAGAUGACAAAGGCAAUAAAUGCCUUUGGAACAAACCCACAAACCUCUGAUGAUUAUGUAAAAUCUGACCAUCAGAUUCCUGCGGCUGGUCAAGCUUCCUCUUCUUGUUUGUAGCAUAGUCAUGUGCAAGCCUGUGCAACUGUUUAUUCUCAUGCUUGAGCCCUCUGAUAUCCUGUUUGAGACUUAUCACUUCAGCCGCCAAUGAUUCAACUUGGCAGGUUUGAGCAAAUAGGAGUUGGGUCAUAUUAGACACAAAACCUGCAUAUUGAACACUAAGAGCCAGAGAAUCCUUAACAGCCAACUCAUCAGACCGUUUGGAAAAUAGUUUCUUAUCUUUAGAAGUGAGAAGGUUCAUGGCCACCACCCCAGUGGUCAUAUCAUUCUUCAUCAUAGAGUCCCCAACGGUACGAGAACCAAUAGGGGAUAAGAAGGAUGGGCGCCAUAUGUUGUCUUGAGAAAGCAUGGCUACCUCUUCACCAAAGUUCAAGUCAAAAUGACGAUUGGAUGGGCCAGACAUUCUCAGAAAUGAUGAAGGAGAAAUGAGGUGCAAUAAAUCUCUUAAGGACAAAAAUAAGGGGAAAAUUCCUACAAGCAAUAACUCUCUUAAUGUACUUCUUGCACACAAUUGGUGCCCUUAUAAAAGAAAGGGUAACAGGGCCGUUGGUUCAAAAAUCGAAGAUGCACCACUCUUCGGAUUUUGAAGAAGCACCACUCUCCACAUGCAACAUCAGCUCAUCGGGUACCAUAUAUAACUUUGCCAAAGAUCUCUGACAAAGUUUAGACACAUAAAUUUUGAAGGUUCAGCUACCCUACUAUUACCCACAAGGGUAAAAGAAUAGCACCAAAAGAACAGCACCACUGCUUGAUAACUAGAAAGUCCCAAUGUGUGUCAACCUCCGUGCUCCGUGGCAAGGUAGACUGGCAAAAAGGCCCAACCUUUACUCACAUUCGAGAAAACACUCCCAACAAGAUUGCUUGCUCAAAAAUCGAAGAGGCACUGCUCUUCGAAUCUUGAGAGCCAGACUCGUUACGUGCUCAAAAAUCGAAGAGGCAUCGCCCUUCGAAUCUCGAGAGCCAGACUCACAACAGGAUUACUUUCUCAAAAAUCGAAGAGACACUGCUCUCCGAAUCUCAAAAGUCAGACUCCCAACAUGAUUGCUUUCUCAAAAAUCGAAGAGGCACCGUUCUCUGAAUCUUGAGAGCCAGAUCCCUGACAGGAUUGCUUGAUCAAAAACCGAAGAGGCACCGCUCUCCAAACUUCGAAGCCAGAUUUCCUUGGAUAAAGCUUGUAUGCAAUCUUCACACACAACAUCAGCUUUCCAGAUACCACCGACCACUUUCUCAAAAAUCGAAGAGACGCUACUCUCCGAAUCUCAAGAGUUAGACUCCUAACAGGAUUGCUUUCUCAAAAAUUGAAUAGGUAUCGUUCUCUGAAUCUCGAGAGUCAGAUCCCCUACAAGAUUGCUUGUUCGAAAACCAAAGAGGCACCACUCUCCGAACUUCAAGAGCCAGAUUUCCUUAGAUAAAGCUUGUCUGCAAUCUUCACACGCAACAUCAGCUUUCUAGAUACCACAGACCACGUUUUCACAAUGCUCUGACAAAGUUAAAACACGUGAAGCUUGUAACUCCCACUAUCUUGCUAUGACCAAGAAGGGUAAAUGAAUAACACUACUACUUGUUGUUAGGGAGACUCCUAUAUAUGUCGACCUGCAUCCUCCAUAGCCAGGCAUACCUGCAAAUAAAAAAAUGCUCAACUUUUCUUCACAUCUGAAAGGGCACUUUCAGCAGAGUUUCUCGAAAUACUCAGCUUCUUUUUUCCCCCGAUAAUACCUAUGCAAACAAGCCACACCAGAGCAAGAAUAUCUCAUAUCAUCAGAGUUAAAAGUAAGAGUAUUCCAUAUCAUGCUUUUUCCUUGUCUUUUCCUUUGGCCUUGUUCUUACCUGCAAGACAAGGAGAAAGAAAGUAAUCAGUUAGCAUUUGGAAUCAAGCUUCCAGUCAGAAAUUGAUUGCCUAGAACCCCUUGUCUGAUUACUUACCUGGCAUUGCUCUCGGGUACUCAUAUUAAACAUCUUAUGCUUCCAGAGAAGAUACCACAUCUGCCUGAGGAACAGAUAGGGCAAGUGAGAAGGAUACAAAAAAGCAUGUUGAGACAAGCGUAACAGAACACGUGCCAAUACAUCCACUACUUUGUCAACAGAAAAAGUAUCUCAUAUCAUCAAGGUCGAACGUACUCUAGAUUUGAUGGACUUGUUUUAACCCUCAAAUUCUUGAGUCGGCCUUAUACUCUGGAGGAAACCAGAAAACCCUCCAGCCGAGUUCAAGAAUAAGCCUGUGGAAAGUUACUUCUUCAAAAUCAAAAGUAUCUUAUAUCAUCUCUUCUCCAUUUGCUUCUCCUUAUCCUUGUUGCUGUUUACGACACAAGGAGAAGAAGAACAAUCAACCGGAAGCCGAAGUUGAACCUCUGAUCCAGAUUGCUUGCUUGGAAGUCUGAUUGCUUACCUUGUCUGUUACCUCCUUCGGCAAAUCUCCUAGCUCGACGACUUGGAGGACUCUUACUAUAGGGUUUGUAUUGCACUUGACCAAGCCUGAAACUACAAGUAAGCUUCAAGUGAAAUUGAUACAUUACCUUGUGCAUCUUCAUCGAUUAAAGAUACCACCCCUGGAUGGAGGAAAAGUACUUCUAGAGAAGAUGCCACAUCUACAUAUGAGACAGAUAAGGCAAGUGAAAAUGAUACCACACUUCGGUACUUAGAAGUUUCGUGAUUACUCAAUGGCUUGGAUCUUGCAAGUCCUCAACCUAGGAGCUUCCCUUACUCGGGAACUUAGGGGAGCACUGUUUGUACCAUACUUGACCAAUCCCGAAACUACUGAGCACCGAUCAACGUUAUACCGUCAAGGACCCAGAAGAGUUUCCCUUAAACCAGGAGGCCAAUCACACAGUGACACAUGUCAACAUCAGAAGCCAAUCACAACACGACACGUGUCAACAUCAGAAGUCAAUCACAACACGACACGUGUCAAUGUCAUAAUGAAACUAGAAACUCUCUUCUAUAAAUAGAGAUCAUUCUCUCACAAUAUUUCCUAAUUUCAUUUGUACUAAAUCAUUCACUAGUAUUCACUAAAGAAAAGCUUGAACCUAUGUACUUGUGUAAACCCUUCACAAUUAAUAAUAACUUCUUUAUUCCGUGGACGUAGCCAAUCUGGGUGAACCAUAUACAUCUUAUGUUUGCUUCCCUGUCCCUAUCCAUUUACACUUAUCCAGACUACUGACCGAAGCAAUCUAGCGAAGGUCACAAACUUAACAUUUUCUAUUGUACCAAAGUCCUCACUGAUUUUGUGCAUCAACAAGUUCUAAUUUAUCCAGACCUUGAUAGGAAACGAGUGAGCUAGCUCACAUAAUAUUUUUCCAUCCCCUAUCACCGAAUUGAGACACCGCCAAUCUAUUUAAAAAUACUUUUAUGAAAGGGGGAAAAAUAAUACUUAAGGUUUCAGUUUAGCAUGCGAAUAAUAUCAUAUUUAAUAAAACAUGAUCCUUGCAUAUUGCAUGACAAGAAAAGAAAGCAGUGCAUCUAAAACGUUGUCAUAGAACAAAGGAAUACCAUAGCAUAUAAUUGGGAAUUGAUAUAUCAAAGCAAAGGGCAAAAUAAUUCCUACGAAAGAUGAGAAAGUUAGGCUGCCCUAAUCCUAAAUGCAUGUCUAUACGAAAAUGCCCCUCUCUAAUUACAAACUAAUAAUUUUCCACCACACGGCCAUGUCUUCCCAAGUUUUACAACCCAAACAUCAACCAAGCACGGAUCUACGUGGGAGACUGGAUAGGUUGGCCCAGCCCAGUCAUUUUUGUUUUCCACGAGUUCAGGAUCUAUACUCAAAUUCUUAUAGAAAAAUUCUAAUCACAAACAUCAUUUGUACUAAAUCAUUCACUUGUACUCACUAAACAAGAGCUUGAACCUAUGUACUUGUGUAAACCCUUCACAAUUAAUGAGAACUCCUCUAUUCUGUGGACGUAGCCAAUCUGGGUGAACCACGUACAUCUUGUGUUUGCUUUCCUAUCUCUAUCCAUUUAUAUACUUAUCAACACUAAUGACCGGAGCAAUCUAGCGAAGAUCACAAAAAGUGACUGUUUUCGCUACCUAGGAUCUAUCUUGCAAGAGAACGGAGAAUUAGAUGGAGAUCUCAACCAUAGAAUACAAGCUGGAUCGAUGAAGUGUAAGAGUGCAUCCGGCGUGUUGUGUGAUCGUCGUAGGCCACUGAAGCUCAAGGGAAAAUUUUAUAGGACGGCAAUAAGGCCAGCGAUGUUGUAUGGCACAGAAUGUUGGGCGG
rnacentral:lncRNA from 1 species